rnacentral:lncRNA from 1 species
UUUUUUUUCUUUUGUAUUGGGUCCCAUGUGUACGUGGGAGAGAUGGGAGAGAGUUUUGUCCUUUUUUCCUUUAUUUGGGUGGGUCCCACGUGUAAGUGACAUAUGUAGCGAGGGUUACAAAUGUUCAAAGAACAGCACAUUGGCGAUCAAAGGCAUUUGACCGAACGGAAAUGACACGGAAGGGUAUUUUCAUAAAGCACUCUAACGGAAGAGGGGCAAAGUUGACCACUAUUUAUUUUAGGGGUAAAGAUGUGGUCGGGUCAAAGUUAGGAGAGAAAAUGGAUAUGUCCCUUUUUACAAGCAUUUGGGAGUGUCGAUUUUGUCUAAUUUUUCAAGAACUAAUAAAAAUUGUCAAUGUUUGCCUUAAAAAGAAAUUUAUUCUUUUGUUUAAUUUACUCAUUUAAGCUUGGAAGCAGAAGAAGGCUUUCGCUCUCCUACAGCCUAUUGUGAGGUACCCACCAACUGGCCACCUUCGUCGGCACCCACCCACUGGCCACCUUCGUCGGCACACCACCCCUUUGUACGAGGGGCGCUAGUGAGUGAAGAAGAUUGCUCGAACCCAAACCACAGAUCGAGUGCUCCAAACGGCUAAUCUCUACUGGAGCGAUCAUGAGAUUUCUAGUGAAGUAGUGAUAUAAGUACAGUAUUAGUGGUUUGCAAGAAAAACAUGGCAUCCUAAGCACUCUGUGACUUGCGGUUUGCCCAGGCUUUCCAAAGCUUCUCGGCCCGUCGUGCCUAUCUAUGAUCAAAGCACCUCCCAAAACCCCAAUCCAGCAUGGAACGUAGUAGCAGAAAAGAACAUUAAACUGAAGUGAGAGAAAACAAGAAGAGCUGUACUGCAUUUGAUCAAUGGAAGGAACAAGAUUAGAGAGUAUGCAAGCGGACACUCACACCACGUUCCACGCUACUACCACGACUCUUAUAAUAGACCAACGCACACAACAUACGGUACGAUGCCAUGACGACGACGACGACGUACGCGCGCUCAGUUGGACCGCAUUUUGUUGAGCUGAUUGAGCGCCGGCUGCAGAAUGUUGUAGAGCACCCAGCCGAGGGCGGGCGCCACCACGAAAAGCAGCAGCAGGCCCCGGUUGUCGUCGGCCGGCGCGACCGCCGCCAGCGCGGCGAGCUCCUGCACGGCGGCGGAGGCCGGCUCCGGCACGGCGGCCAGGCCGGCGGCCGCGGCAGCGCCGAUGCCCAGCCCGGCGACGAGCGCCUUCUCGGACCGCAUCUUGUUGAGCUGGUUCAGCGCCGGCUGGAGGAUGUUGUAGAGCACCCACCCGAGCGCGGGCGCCACCACGAAGAGCAGGAGUAGGCCCCGGUUGUCGUCCGCGGGCGCCGCCGCCGCCACGUCCGCGAUCCGCUGCGACGCCAUCGCCGCGUCCGACGAGGCCAGCGAGGUGAAGAAGGCGCUCGCCAUGGCAGCGGCCGCCGGCGACACGGCCAGGGCUCCCUUCUUGGCCGCGUUCUUCUGCAGGCUGCGCAGCGAGAUGCUCGGCGACGCCACCUUGGCGCUGGACGACGUCGACGACGAAGGCGCCGACCUCGCCGUGAUCUUGGCGGGCUUGAGCAUGGUCAUCGUGGCUAUGGUCGCCAUUGACGCCUAGCUCCCUGGUUGCUCGCUGCCUUCUCUCCCUCGCAAGAAGCUCUCACGCUGGCAAAAAGGUGGAUGGAGGGGUGCUGUGGGGUGCGCGGGUGUGUAAUGCGAUGCCCUUCCCUUCCCCUGCGUUUCUAGAACGGACGAUGUGGCGUGGCUAGCUUAUCUUGUGCGGCGAGUGUGCGAUGGAGGUUUGAAAGCUUAUCUCGCGGCCUGCAACUUGCAAUGCCAUUGGCUGUGGGAGCAACUAGGCGGGGACCACACGAUUUACAUGGAGACUUUGGUGAGAGGAAGUGGAGUCGUGAAAUGAAUCGGAAAUUCAGAUAUCUCACAGUAGUAGGAAUAUAAGCGUGCCCUAGAAUGUCCUAUGGUACCAAACGACAAGAUCGUAUUCGUCUCAAGAAAAGACAAGAUCGGAGAUCGUCUGGAUUGAAACGUCUAGGUAUUUUCGGUGAAUUUCAGUUAAAAAUACACGAAAUGACGUUCAUCUUCGUGCUCCACAAUGUCUUUCCUCUUCGUUUACGCUGAUCAUUGCAGAACUAUUCUGUAACACAGACGAAGGAAGUAGACAACACCAUCCAAACGUUGAUAAUAAUUAAUAAGUUUAUGAAUUACUUCAUGCAUGAGCAUCAAAAUAUGAUGAACCACCAAACUAGAUACAGCACGGAAAGAACAAAAUCUGGUAGCAAUUAUUCACUCCCUACACGGAAUCGCCAGGCGUUUCCAUCCAUUAUUCGUCAGGGUAGAAACCAUGGAGCAAAAACAAACCAAAUGGCAGGCUGAUUACAACUUUCCGACAUCUCCACGGGGGAAGACCCUGCUCUGCUCACACUCAGGCUCCGAGCUGCAGCUUCUUUAUUGUGUCGAUCUGCUUUGCAGGGUUCAGCCCCUUGGGGCAGGCAUGCGUGCAGUUCUUGAUGGUGUGGCAGCGGUACAGCUUGAACUCGUCGUUGAUGGAGUCAAGGCGCUCCUUUGUGAACUCAUCACGGCUGUCUUGGAUCCACCUGGGAAGAACCAAUGUGUUUAUGGCACACGCCAAAGAAGCAUGUUAUAUCUCUCAGACACUGCAGUCGUAAGCCCAAUCCAAAGAACCAAUGUGUUUAUGGCUCAAGGCAUUUGAAACACUUGCAGAUAUGUGAAAAUGAUACUUAAACAAGUUAUAAAUGACUAAGAUGUUUCCCGGUUCUUCUGACUAAGGGCACUUGCAAUUAUUAGUCAAAAGAUAUUGUUCAAAUUUUUGUGUGCCUUAUAUCAGAUCAUGUUUUAGAUUAGAAGUUAAAAGGGCAAAUUGUGACAAACAAUAUGAUAAAUCAGAGGAUCAGAUAUACUAAAUCUCAGUGCACUCAUCAAAUAAAACCAGAUGAGAUAAAUAUUGAAUCAAACAGCCAGCUUAUAGAAACCUUGAACAAUAGAAUCUUUAGCUUCAUAAAUGCUGAAUAGCAUGAAAAACAGUACAUUACACUGCCUCAACUAAAUAAAGAGAAAACCAUGCCGUUUGCUGGCAGUAAAAAAACUUGACAGAUAGUUUCAGGAAUCAAACACUGAAAGAGGGCAACCUUAUUUUGCUGGCCUACUGAAGAGCUAGUUCUUUCUUCUACCCAUCUGUUAACAUCUACCAAGAUGCUUUCUUAACACCCAUCAGUUCACCCUUAUUUGCCAAGGUACGGAACACGAUACGAGACAUGCGGAAUUUUUGGUAGACACCACGAGAGCGGCCCGUGAAAAUACAGCGGUUUCUAAGACGUGUCAUGUUACUAUUUCUUGGCAGCUUGGACAACUUAUAGCGAAACUUAUCCCGCAUAUCUGAUGGAAGAUCAGGGUCCCUACAGACAGACUUAUAAAGCUUUCCUCUCAGCUCAUAUUUUGCUGCAAGCAAUCUACGUUUGUGAUCACGCAUGUUUCUCUUCUCUGAGACCCCAUGAUAUCCUCGAGCUUGGACGUGCAUGAACAUGCUGGGUUUUGGUUUCAUUAGCGUCCCCCACAGCGGAAGCCUAAAAAGGGUGAACGGGUGAACGUGUCAUGGACUUAACAACAUCCUAAAGCUUACAACAAAAGGCAUUAAAUAUAUUAGACAAUUAGCAUUUUAAUUCUGGUAGAACAUAACCAUAAUUUGCGGGUAAAGGGGGAAACUAGCAUGCUCUAUACUGAAAGAGAGGUUACCACAAAUAAAAGUAACUUCCAAAUCAAGGCCACCUCAAGAAUUAGGCUACUAGUGGGGGGAUAGGGGGGCUAGGACUUCCGAUGUCAUCCACAAUCCUAAUAAGGAAGAAGACUCGCGAAGUCAUGAAGAAGCAGACUGCUGAAAUGACAAACUCAUGAUUAUUUCCAACAGUGGCGCAUCAACUUCCAAAACAAUCAGCCAAAGACCAGAUAAAAAAGAAUAAAAACAGUCCCUAGAUAAGGCAUUCUUCAACCAAACGGACAUUUCACAGUACCCACCAAAUGAUCAUCUACACUGCUUCGCCGGGGAGCUAGCAAAGAAGUAACAGAUGAUCAUUGCAUAAAUGGACCUAAUAAUAUAUAUACAAACAGUCACUGAUGCCCAAAAUGUAUAGGCAUUCUUCAACCAAACGGGCAUUUCACACUAUCCGCCAAACAAUCAUGUACACCGCUUUGCCAGGGAGCUAGCAAAAAAGUAACAGAUGAUCAUUGCAUAAAUGUACCAAAUAAUUCACCACCACAUACCAGUGAACAAUUCUCCUAGAUAAAACGCACAUAGUUGCAUGCCUAGAACUACCUAGGCGAGAUGAAACCACCCUACGUAUCAUCCCACAACCAUUUCACAGCAUGACACACCAACCGAUCAAUCACAUGUCACUCGGUAAUCGAGUAGAUCCAGCACACAGAAGCAACAUACUCAGCAUAUCAUCACAAUUCACGAUAUCAAGAGAAUACGAGCGAGGCGCAGGUAUACCUGUUGGCAUGGAGCAGCGCUGCGGGGCCGAGAUACUCUUCUGGGUUCCACCAGUAGGACGGGCAGGAUGUGGAGCAGCAGGCGCAGAGGAUGCACUCGUACAUGCCAUCGAGCUUGGCGCGGUCGGCCUUGGACUGGUAGAUCUCCUUCCCUCCGGCCGACGCCGGGUCCUUGCGCUUGAGCCACGGCUCGACGCUCUUGUACUGGUUGUAGAAGUUGGUCAUGUCGACGACGAGGUCCUUGACGACGAACAUGUGCGGGAGCGGCGAGAUCGUGGAGGCACCGGCCGCCUCCGAGGAGAUCUUGGUGAGGCAGGCCAGCCCGUUGUCGCCGUCGAUGUUCAUGGCGCAGCUGCCGCAGAUGCCCUCGCGGCAGCUCCGGCGGAAGGUGAGGGACGGGUCCUGCUCGUUCUUGAUCUUGAGGAGCGCGUCGAGCACCAUGGGGCCGCAGUCGGAGAGGUCCACCUUGUAGUCCUUGAGGUGGGGCUUCGUCGACGGGGAAUCCGGGUCCCAGCGGUAGAUCGAGAAGGUCUUGGUGCUAGCAGGCUUCGAUGAGGGCGGCGGCGGCGCGGGGGAAGAGGAAUGGGGCUUGGAGGCGACGAGGCGGGAGGAGAGGGCCGGCGAAAGGAGGGCGCGCGCCGCCGGCGAGCGGCGGAGGAGGGCGGCGGCGGCCAUCGAUUUGGGGUUUCGCGUUUCUCUCUCUCUCUCUCUCUCUCUCCUUUUUCUCCUUUAUUUUUGGGAGGUAGGAGAGGGGAAGGUGGCGCGUGGUGGGCUUAGGCCCAGCUGGGUAUAUAUAUGUCGUGGUGCUGAUGGGUGGAUGACAUGUGGGGUCAAGAUGGAGGUAACGGAAUGGCGGUUCUAGGGUUGUGGUGGGUUACUGACAGGUGGGGCUUCUGAAAGCUUGGGUUGGGCCUUCUUGUGGAUGGGAGGGUGGAGAUGUGGACAAGCUCUGGGCCGUUUGCAAGAUGACAAUGGAAAGUUGGCUAGGGAAAAUGACUUCAUCGUAGCGUCAAGUUUUAUUGGAUUUGUGUAGCUUUUUCCUCCUCUCCUUUUUCAGGUCUUCUAUUUCGGUUUUGACUCUGCUGUCAUACCGGUCUUCAUAUAUGUGGGGCAUGUGAGAAUUCAAGAAUGGUGUACUGUGGAAACUGAAACUUAUCUUCAAGCUAUCAUAAAUACAAGAUGUCCUAAUGUUUUAAUGUGUUUGUUCAAUCAUUCCAUUUUGUAUGUAGUCUAUAUUAAAAUAUAUAAUAUUUAUAAACUGAAAAAAAUACUGUGCAUGUAAAAUAUAAUGAAUAAAUUAAGUCGUUGGCACACAACACAUGAUCGUUGAGCCAUCAAUAAAAAGGAUACUCCCCCAUGUACAUUUUACUCCGCAUAUAAGAUUUGUUUAAAGACAGUCUUUGAAAAUUUUGGUCGACUUCAUUAGGAAAAAAAAUCAACAAUCGCAAUGCAAAAUCAAUAGCAUUAAAUGUAUCAUGAAUUUAAUUUUCAUAUUGUAUACCUUUAGCAUUGUAGAUGUUGAUAAUUUUACAUAAAUAUGAUUAAAUUUUAUGAAGUUUGACAUAAAAAAAAAAUCUUGUAUACAGAGCAUAAAAGACCGGAGGUAAUACUGCAUGAACCCUUUUAUUUCAACAACAAAACCAGUGCUAGCAUAAGGAAAGCAAUAUCAUGAGAGCUGCGUAGGCUUGCUCACGCAAAUCCCCAAAUCCUACCGUAGACUUUAGCUGCGAGAGCUAUAUCUCGCUCCAAAACCUUUCCCUCAUGUGCAGCCAUUGGACCAAACCAGUUUCGUCUGGUUGUUUCUGGUUUGAUCUGGUUUUGAUCGAGACACUCUUGUUCGCAUUAGUUUCUUUGAAAAAAAAAAUAUUCUUACCAUGAUUUUCUUUUGGUUCUACAACGGGUUUUUUUUUCGUUUUUAUUUGUUUUAGCCGGUUUCUUCAUUUAUUUAUCGGUAUGAAUGGUUUCCCUCUUUUUUCCUUAGUUUUUUUUUCUUUUCUCGAGUUUUUUGAGAUUUUUUCUUUUCUUUCUUGCAUCAGUUUUCUUCUGUUUCUUAUUAUUUUUAUUUUUCUUUCUCAUUCCUUUUGUAUUUUUAUUUGAUUUUUUGUUUCUUCCCUGCUUCCUAUGAUUUUCAGUGUUUUUUGUGUGUUUCUAUAUUUGUUUUUUUACUGUGUCCCAUUCUUUUUGCAAUUGUUUCUUCGGUUUUGUUUUUCUUUGGUUUCUUUUAUUUCUUUUGUCAGUUUUCAUUUGUUUCUCAUUUUUCUUUGAAUCUUUCAAUAUUCAUCAUACAUUUUACUUGUAUGACAAGAAUAUUUUUCUAACACAAGUUUAACAUUCUUAGAUACAGGUUUCAUUUUUUUAAUACACGGUCAGUAUUUAUUCUAUCCAUGUUUUUUAAGAUCUUGCAAUGGCUUGAUUAUCAUUUUCAAAUACAAGAUUACCAUUUUAGAUACAUGGUCAACAUUUUUCUAUACACAUUAAAAAUCAAAUGCUUAACUAACAUUUUUCAAAUACGCAUGUAAACUUUUUAAAUGUUUCAUUAGCAUUUUCUAAGUACAUGAUCAAUUUUACGGAGUGCAAUUUAAGUUGUCGCAAGUUAAAUAAAUAUUGCAUGAAGAUAGUGUUAGAGGUAAUAACAUUGUGGAAGUCCACUAGGAGAGUGACCAUUUCUGCUACGUGUUGGGUCCUAGAGAUGGAAUGUCAUCUCGACGACAAACCAAGGGUCGUUGUCAAUUGCCACAAGUUGCAUGUCAUGUUGGAAAUAUGUCCUAGAGUCAAUAAUAAAAUGGUUAUUAUUAUAUUUCCUAGUUCAUGAUAAUUUGUCUAUUGUUCAUGCUAUAAUUGUAUUAACCGGAAACCGUAACACAUGUGUGAAUAUAUAGAUAACAAUGUGUGUCUAGUGAGCCUCUAGUUGGCUAGCUCGUUGAUCAAUAGAGGAUCAUGGUUUCCUCAUCAUGGACAUUGGAUGUCAUUGAUAAUGGGAUUACAUCAUUGGGGAAAGAUGUGAUGGACAAGACCCAAUCCUAAGCAUAACACUAGAUCGUGUUGUUCGUCUGCUAAAACUUUUCUAAUGUCAAGUAUCAUUUCCUUAGACCGUGAGAUUGUGAAACUCCCGGAUACCAUAGGAGCGCUUUGGGUGUAUCAAAUGUCACAACGUAACUGGGUGAUUAUAAAGGUGCACUACGGGUAUCUCCGAAAUGUUGGAAAUAUGCCCUAGAGGCAAUAAUAAAUUAGUUAUUAUUAUAUUUCUUUGUUCAUGAUAAUCGUUUAUUAUCCAUGCUAUAAUUGUAUUGAUUGGAAACACAAAUACAUGUGUGGAUACAUAGACAAAACACUGUCCCUAGUAAGCCUCUAGUUGACUAGCUCGUUGAUCAAAGAUGGUCAAGGUUUUCUGACCAUAGACAAGUGUUGUCACUUGAUAACGGGAUCGCAUCAUUAGGAGAAUCAUGUGAUGGACUAGACCCAAACUAUGAACGUAGCAUAUUGAUUGUGUCAUUUUAUUGCUAUUGUUUUCUGCGUGUCAAGUAUUUAUUCCUAUGACCAUGAGAUCAUAUAACUCACUGGCACCGGAGAAAUACCUUGUGUGUAUCAAAUGUCGCAACGUAACUGGGUGACUAUAAGGGUGCUCUACACGUAUCUCCGAAGGUGUCCGUUGAGUUAGUAUGGAUCAAGACUGGGAUUUGUCACUCCGUGUGACGGAGAGGUAUCUCGGGACCCACUCGGUAAUACAACAUCACACACAAGCCUUCCAAGCAAUGUGACUAGAUGUAAGUCACGGGAUCUUGUAUUACAGAACGAGUAAAGAGACUUGCGAGUAACGAGAUUGAAAUAGGUAUGCGGAUACCGACGAUCGAAUCUCGGGCAAGUAACAUACAGAAGGACAAAGGAAAUGACAUACGGGAUUAUAUGAAUCCUUGGCACAGAGGUUCAACCGAUAAGAUCUCCGUAGAAUAUGUAGGAUCCAAUAUGGGCAUCUAGGUCCCGCUAUUGUAUAUUGAUCAAGAAGUGUCUCGGGUCAUGUCUGCAUAGUUCUCGAACCCGCAGGGUCUCCACACUUAAGGUUCGAUGAUGUUUUAGUAUAGUAGAGUUAUAUGUGUUGGUGAACGAAGGUUUUUCGGAGUCCCGUAUGAGAUCACGGACGUCACGAGGGUUUCUGGAAUGGUCCGGAAACGAAGUUUGAUAUAUAGGAAGUUGGUGUUUGGAUUCCGGAAAGUUUUCGGGCAUUGCCGGAGUGUACGGGGAAUGAUGAAUGGGUUCCGGGGGGCCACUGGGUGGGCCCACCACGCCCCAAGGGGUCCACAUGGGUUCAUUGGAUGUACAAUAAGGUAUAAUGGGCUGACAAAGUCAUCCAAGGAAAGCCCAUGAGGAAAAAGUGGAAAAUCCAAAAGAGGUGGGAAAAUAAGGAAGGAGUCCUAAUCCAAGUGGGAUUGGAGAAGGACUCCUCCCUUCCCCAAGUCGACCGACCCAAGGAGGCCUCCUUGGACGGCGCCCUAGGGCUUUGCCCCACCCCUUGGAUCCUCCUAUAUAUACUAGAGAUUUAGGGCUGUUUUGAGACACAACUUUGCCACAUGCAAGUCAAACCUACACCUCGCAGUUCUUCCCCUAGAUUAGAUUUAUGCGGAGCUCGGGCGGAGCUCUGCAGGAAUAGAUCAUCACCGACACCGGCGCGUCGUCACGCAGCCGAAGAACUCAUCUACUUCUCCGUCUUGCUUGCUGGAUCAAGAAGGCCAAGAUCGUCAUCGAGUUGUACGUGUGCUGAACGCGGAGGUGCCGCCCGUUCGGCGCUAGAUCGGGAUUGAUCGUGGGAUGGAUCGCGAGACGGUUCGUGGGACGGUUCGAGGGACGGAUCAUGAAGACGUACCACUACAUCAACCGCAUUUCUUAACGCUUCCCGCUGAGCAAUCUACAAGGGUACGUAGAUCUAAUCUCCUCUCAUAGAUGGACAUCACCAUGAUAGGUCUUCGUGUGCGUAGGAAUUUUUUUGUUUCCCAUGCAACGUUCCCCAACAGUGGCAUCACGAGCUAGGUUCAGGCGUAGAUGUUAUCUCGAGUAGAACACAAAAGGUUUUGUGGACGGUGAUGUUUGAUUUGCUGCCCUCCUUAGUCUUUUCUUGAUUCGGUGGUAUUAUUGAAUUGAAGCGGUCCGGACCGACAUAACUCGUACGCUUACGAGAGACUGGUUUCAUCAACUGACAUGCAACCUCGUUGCAUAAAGAUGACUAGCGGGUGCCUGUUUCUUCAACUUUAGUUGAAUUGGUUUUGACCGAGGCGGUCCUUGGAGAGAGGUUAAAUAGCAAUUUGCACAUCUUUGUUGUGGUUUUUGCGUAAGUAAGAUAAGAUCAUACUAGAUACCCAUAGCAGCCACGUAAAACAUGCAUCAAUAAAUUAGAGGACGUCUAACUUGUUUUUGCACGGUAUGCUUGUGAUAUUAUAUGACCAAUGACGUGUUGUGAUAUUUUGGAUGUAUGAGAUGACCAUGCUGUAAUAGUUAAUAUCGACUUGCGCGUCGAUGCUACAGCAACCGGCAGGAGCCACAGGGUUGUCUUUAAACUAACGUUUGUGUUUGCAGAUGCGUUUACUAUAUUGCUAGGUCGUAGCUUUAGUAGUAAUAGCAUAUAUAGCACGACAACCUCGAUGGCAGCACGAUGAUGGAGAUCAUGGUGUGGCACCGGUGACAAGAAGAUCAUGUCAGUGCUUUGGUGAUGGAGAUCAAGAAACACAAGAUGAUGGCCAUAUCAUGUCACUUAUGAAUUGCAUGUGAUGUUAAUCCUUUUAUGCACCUUAUUUUUCUUAGAACGGCGGUAGCAUUAUAAGGUAAUCUCUCACUAAAAUUUCAAGAUGAAAUUGUGUUCUCCCCGACUGUGCACCGUUGCGACAGUUCAUCGUUUCGAGACACAACGUGAUGAUCGGGUGUGACAGACUCAACGUUCACAUACAACGGGUGCAAAACAGUUGCACACACGAAACACUCGGGUUAAACUUGACGAGCCUAGCAUGUGCAGACAUGGCCUCGGAACACAAGAGACCGAAAGGUCGAGCAUGAAUCGUAUAGUUGAUAUGAUUAGCAUAGAGAUGCUUACCACUGAAACUAUUCUCAAAUCACGUGAUGAUCGGACUUGAGUUAGUGAAUUUGGAUCAUGUACUACACAAAUGACUAGAGAGAUGUACUUUUUGAGUGGGAGUUUAUUAAGUAAUUUGAUUAGUUAAACUCUAAUUAUCAUGAACAUAGUCAAAAGGUCUUUGCGAAUUAUGAUGUAGCUUGCGCUAUAACUCUACUGUUUUUUAUAUGUUCCUAGAGAAAAUUUAGUUGGAAGAUGAUAGUAGCAACUUUGCAGAAUUAGUCCGUAAAACCGAGGAUUGUCCUCAUUGUUGGGCAGAAGGCUUAUGUCCUUAAUGCACCACUCGGUGUGCUGCACCUCGAGCGUCGUUUGUGGAUGUUGCGAACAUCUGACAUACACGUUUUUGAUGACUACGUGAUAGUUCAGUGCGUAAUACUUAAUGGCUUAGAAGCAAGGCACCAAUGACAUUUUGAAACGUCACGGAACAUAAGUGAUGUUCUAAGAGAUGAAAUUGAGAUUUCAUGCUCGUGCCCAUGUUGAGAGGUAUGAGACCUCCGACAAGAUUCUUUGUCUACAAAGUAAAGGAGAAAAGCUCAAUCGUUGAGCAUAUGCUCAGAUUGUCUGAGUAGAACAAUCGCUUGAAUCAAGUGGGAGUUAAUCUUCCAGAUGAGAUAGUGAUGGUUCUCCAAAGUCACUGCCACCAAGCUGCUAGAGCUUCGUGAUGAACUAUAACAUAUCGAGAAUAGAUAUGAUGAUCCUUAAGCGAUUCGCAAUGUUUGACACUGCGAAUGUAGAAAUCAAGAAGGAGCAUAAAUUGUUGAUGGUUAUUAAAACCACUAGUUUCAAGAAGGGCAAGGGCUAGAAGGGAUACUUCAUGAAACGGCAAACCAAUUGCUGCUCUAAAGAAACCCAAGAUUGAACCCAAACCCGAGACUAAGUGCUUAUGUUACGAGGGGAACGGUCACUAAGGUGGAGCUACCCUAGAUGCUUGGUAGAUAAGAAGGCUAGCAAACUCAACCUAAGUAUAUUUGAUAUACAUGAUAUAGAUGUGUACUUUACUAGUACUCCUAGUAGCACGAUGGUAUUGGAUACCGGUUCGGUUGCUAAGUGAUUAGUAACUCGAAAUGAAAGCCACGGAAUAAACGGAGACUAGCUAAAGGUGAGGUGAUGAUACGUGUUGGAAGUGUUUCCAAGGUUGAUGUGAUCAAAACAUCACACGCUCCAUCUAUCAUCGGGAUUGGUGUUAAACCUAAGUAAUUGUCAUUUGGUGUUUCCGUUGAGCAUGAACAUGAUUGGAUCGUGUUUAUUGCAAUACGAUUAUUCAUUUAAAGAAAAUAAUAGUUAUUCUAUUUGCUUGAAUAAUUACCCUCAAUGGUUUAUUGAAUCUCGAUCGUAGUGUUACACAUGUUCAUAAUAUUGGUGCCAAAAGAUACAAAGUAAUAAUGAUAGUACCACUUACUUGUGGCACUGCCACUUGAGUCAUGUUGGUGUAAAAUGCAUGAAGAAACUCCAUGCUGAUGGAUCUUUGUACUCACUCAUUUUUGAAACGUUUGAGACAUGCAAACCACACCUGUUGGUAUAAACGCAUGAAGAAACUCCAUGCGGAUGGAUCGUUUGGAUUCACUUGAUUUUGAAUCACUUGAGACAUGCAAAAUCAUACCACAUGGAACAAGAAAGUAACUUGUUGGAAGCAAUGCAUUUUGAUGUAUGCAGUCCAAUGAGUGCUGAGGCACGCAGUGGAUAUCGUUAUCUUCUUACUUCACUGAUGAUUUGAGUAGACACAGGAGUAUUUACUUGAUGAAUCACAAGUCUGAAAUAUUGAAAAGUUCAAAGCUAUUUCACAGUGAAGAUCGUCGUGACAAGAGGAUAAACUGUCUACGAUAUGAUCAUAGAGAUGAAUAUCUGAGUUGCGAGUUUUGGUACACAGUUAAGACAAUGUGGAAAUUGUUUCGCAAAUCAUGCCACCUAGAACACCAUAGUGUGAUGGUGUGUCCAAACGUCAUAGCCGCACCCUAUUGGAUAUAGCACAUACUGUGAUGUCUCUUAUCGAAUUACCACUAUCGUUUAUGGGUUAUGCAUUAGAUACAACCGCAUUCACUUUAAAUAGGGCACCACGUAUUUCUGUUGAGAUGACACAGUAUAGACUAUGGUUUGGAGAAACCUAAGUUGUCGUUUCUUAAAAGUUUGGGGCUGCGAUGCUUAUGUGAAAAGGUUUCAGUCUGAUAAGCUCAAACCCAAAGAGGAUAAAUGCAUCUUCAAAGGAUAUCCAAAAUAGUUGGGUACAUCUCCUAUCUCAGAUCCAGAAGCGAAGUGUUUGUUUCUAGAAAUGGGUCCUUUCUCGAGGAAAGGUUUCUCUCGAAAGAAUUGAGUGGGAGGGUGGUGGAACUUGAUGAGGUUAUUGAACCGUCACUUCAACUAGUGUGUGGCAGGGUGCAUGAAGUUGUUCCUGUCGGGCCUACACCAAUUGAAGUAGAAACUGAUGAUGGUGAUCAUUAAGCUUCGGAUCAAGUUACUACAAACCUCGUAGGUCGACAAGGUCGCGUACUACUACAGAGUGGUAUGGUAACCCUGUCUUGGAGGUCAUGUUGUUGAACAACAAUGAACCUACGAGCUAUGGAGAAGUGAUGGUGGGCCCAGAUUCUGACAAAUAGCUGGAGGCCAUGAAAUCAAGAGAGGAUCCAUGUAUGAAAAUGAAGUGUAGACUUUGGGAGAACUACUUGAUGGUCGUAAGACUAUUAAGUAAAGAUGGAUAUUUAAAAGGAAGACACACGAUGAUGGUGAAAAGUCACCAUUAAGAAAAGCUCAACUUUUCGCAAAGAUGUUUCCGACAAAGUUCAAAGAGUUGACUAUGAUGAGACUUUCUCACUCGUAGCGAUGCUAAAAGUCUGUUGGAAUUAUGUUAGCAAAUGAUGCAUUGUUUGUAAUAUAUUGCACAUAGGAUGUCAAAACAUUGUUUCCUCGACGGUUUCCUUGAGGAAAGGUUGUAUGUGAUGCAACCAGAAGGUUUUGUUAAUCCUAAGGAUGCUAACUAGUAUGCAAGCUCCAGCGAUCCUUCUAUGGGCCGGUGCAAGUAUCUCGGAGUUGGAAUAUAUGCUGUGAUGAGAUGAUCAAAGCUUUUGGGUUUGUACAAGGUUUAUGAGAAACUUGUAUUUUCAAAGAAGUGAGUGGGAGCACUAUAGAAUUUCUGAUAAGUAUAUGUGGUUGACAUAUUGUUGAUCGGAAGUAAUGUAGAAUUUCUCUAAAGCAUAAAGGGUUGUUUGAUAGGAGUUUUUCAAAGGAAGACCUGGAUAGAGCUACUUGAACUUUGAGCAUCAAGAUCUAUAGAGAUAUAUCAAAACACUAAAUAGAAUUUUCAAUGUAAUGCAUGCCUUGACAGGUUUUUGAAGGAGUUCAAAAUAGAUCAGUAAAGGAGUUCUUGAUUGUGUUGUAAGGUGUGAAUUUGAGUAAGACUCAAAGCCCGACCACGACAGAAUAAAGAGAAUGGAUGAAGGUCGUCUUCUAUGCCUUAGUCGUAGACUCUAAAGUAUGCCAUGCUGUGUACCGCACCUGAUGUGUGCCUUGCCACAAGUCUGUUAAGAGGUACAGAGAGUGAUCCAGGAUUGAAUCACUAAACAACGAUCAAAGUUAUCCUUAGUAACUAAUGGACUAAGGAAUUUUUCUCGACUAUGGAGGUGAUUAAAGAGUUUGUUGUAAAGGGUUACAUCGAUGCAAGCUUUGACACUAAUCCAAAUAACUCGGAGUAGUAAAACGGAUUUGUAUAGUAGAGUAGAUAUUUGGAGUAUUUCCGAAUAGCACGUAGUAGCAGCAUCUAUAAGAUGACAUAAAGAUUUGUAAAGCACACACGGAUCUGAAAGAUUCAGAAUCAUUGACUAAAACCUCUCUCACGAGCAAGACGUGAUCAAACCUCAGAACUAUGUGGGUGUUGGAUUCGUUAAAAUUACAUGGUGAUGUGAACUAGAUUAUUCACUCUAGUGCAAGUGGGAGACUGUUGGAAAUAUGCCCUAGAGGCAAUAAUUAAUUAGUUAUUAUUAUAUCUAUUUGUUCAUGAUAAUCGUUUAUUAUUCAUGCUAUAAUUGUAUUGACUGGAAACACAACUACAUGUGUGGAUACAUAGACAAAACACUGUCCCUAGUAAGCCUCUAGUUGACUAGCUCGUUGAUCAAAGAUGGUCAUGGUUUUCUGACCAUAGACAAGUGUCGUCAAUUGACAACGGGAUCACAUCAUUAGGAGAAUCAUGUGAUGGACUAGACCCAAACUAUGAACGUAGCAUAUUGAUCGUGUCAUUUUAUUGUUAUUGUUUUCUGCAUGUCAAGUAUUUAUUCCUAUGACCAUGAGAUCAUAUAACUCACUCGCACCAGAGAAAUACCUUGUGUGUAUCAAACGUCGCAACGUAACUGGGUGACUAUAAAGGUGCUCUACAGGUAUCUCCGAAGGUGUCCGUUGAGUUAGUAUGGAUCAAGACUGGGAUUUGUCACUCCGUGUGACGGAGAGGUAUCUCGGGGCCCACUCGAUAAAACAACAUAACGCACAAGCCUUGUAAGAAAUGUGACUAAAUGUAAGUCACGUGAUCUUGUAUUAUAGAAUGAUUAAAGAGACUUGCGAGUAACGAGAUUGAAAUAGGUAUACGGAUACCGACGAUCGAAUCUCGGGCAAGUAACAUACCGAAGCACAAAGGAAAUGACAUACGGGAUUAUAUGAAUCCUUGGCACAGAGGUUCAACCGAUAAGAUCUUCGUAGAAUAUGUAGGAUCCAAUAUGGGCAUCCAGGUCCCGCUAUUGGAUAUUGACUGAGAAGUGUCUCGGGUCAUGUCUACAUAGUUCUCGAACCCGCAGGGUCUCCACACUUAAGGUUCGAUGAUGUUUUAGUAUAGUAGAGUUAUAUGUGUUGGUGAGUGAAGGUUGUUCGGAGUCUCGGAUGAGAUCACGGACAUCACGAGGGUUUCUGGAAUGGUCCGAAAAUGAAGAUUGAUAUAUAGGAAGUUGGUGUCUGGAUUCCGGAAAGUUUUCGGGCAUUGCUCGCAGUGUACGGGGAAUGAUGAAUGGGUUUCGGGGGCCACUAGGUGGGCCCACCACGCCCCAAGGGGUCACAUGGGUUCAUUGGAUGUAAAAUAAGGUAUAAUGGGCUGACAGAGUCAUCCAAGGAAAGCCCAUGAGGAAAAAGUGGAAAAUCCAAAAGAGGUGGGAAAAUAAGGAAGGAGUCAUAAUCCAAUUGGGAUUGGAGAAGGACUCCUCCCUUCCCCAAGUCGGCCGACCCAAGGAGGCCUCCUUGGCCGGUGCCCUAGGGCUUUUCCCCGCCCCUUGGCUCCUCGUAUAUAUACUAGAGGUUUAGGGCUGUUUGGAGACACAACUUUGCCACAUGCAAGUGAAACCUACACCUCACAGUUCUUCCUCUAGAUUAGAUUUCUGCGGAGCUCGGGCGGAGUCGUGCAGGAAUAGAUCAUCACCAACACUGGCGCGUCGUCAUGCUGCCGAAGAACACAUCUACUUUUCCAUCUUGCUUGCUGGAUCGAGAAGGCCGAGAUCGUCAUCGAGUUGUACGUGUGCUAAAUGCGGAGGUGCCGUCCGUUCGGCGCUAGAUCGGGAUGGAUCAUGGGAUGGAUUGCGAGACGGUUCGUGGGACGGAUCGUGGGACGGUUCGAGGGACGGAUCGUGAAGACGUACCACUACAUCAACCGCGUUUCUUAACGCUUCCCGCUGAGCAAUCUACAAGGGUACAUAGAUCUAAUCUCCUCUCAUAGAUGGACAUCACCAUGAUAGGUCUUCGUGUGCGUAGGAAUUUUUUUGUUUCCCAUGCAACGUUCCCCAACACGAAAGUGUAUGUUCGGUUCUACGAAUCGAGACUGGGAUUUGUAACUCAGUGUGACAGAGAGGUAUCUUUGGGCCCACUUGGUAAUCCAUCAUCAUAUUGAGCUCAUUGUGACUAAGGAGUUAGCUACGGGAUGAUGUGUUACAGAACGAGUAAAGAGACUUGCCGGUAACAAGAUUGAACAAGGUAUGGGGAUACCAACGAUCGAAUCUCGGGCAAGUAUCGUACCGGUAGACAAAGGGAAUUGCAUAGGGAUUGACUGAAUCAUUAACAUCGUGGUUCAUCUGAUGAGAUUAUCGUGGAACAUGUGGGAACCAGCAUGGAUAUCCAGACCCCGCUGUUGGUUAUUGACCAGAGAGAUGUCUCGGUCAUGUCUUCAUAUCUCCCGAACCCGUAGGGUCUACACACUUAAGGUUUGAUGAAGCUAGGGUUAUAGGGAAAAAGUGUACGUGGUUACCAAAGGUUGUUUGGAGUCCCGGAUGAGAUGUCGGACGUCAGAGGAGCUCCGAAAUGGUCCGGAGGUAAAGAUUGAUAUAUAGGAAGUCCUGUUUUGGUCACCGGAUAAGUUUUGGGCUCAUCGGUAGUGUAUCGGGAGUGCGAGGAGGUUGCAGAAGGACCCCCGGGAGGGGUGUGACGACCAAAGGAGUUCAUGGGCUGUUAGAGGAGGUGGACCAACCCUUAUUGGGCUGGCCAAGGCCUUCCCUAAAGGCCCAUGCAGCUAGGGAUAAAGGAAAUAAGGCAAAAGGGGUUUGAAAGGAAGGGAUCCACCUCCCUUGUGGGAGGUGGACUCCUCCCCUAGUUCGGCCGAACCUCUCCUCCUUAGAGGAGGGGCCAAGGCAACCCUCCCUCUCCCUCCUCAUAUAUAUACUUGAGGUUUUGGCCCUUUUGAGACAGACAAUUGAUCUCUCCCAAGGCGCAGCCCUAUCUCUCUCUUCUUCCUCCUCUGCAACGCUUGGCGAAGUCCUGCCGGGGAACCACAUAGCUCCACCAUCACCAUGCCGCCAUGUUGCCAGAUCUCUCCCUCAACUUCUCCUCUCUCCUUGCUGGAUCAAGAAGGAGGAGACAUCGCCGGGCUAUACGUGUGUUGAACGCGGAGGCACCAUCGUUUGGUGCAUAGAUCGGAAUCUUCCGCGAUCUGAAUUGCGGCGAGUACGACUCCAUCAACCGCAUCCUAGUAACGCUUCCGCUUAGCGAUCUUAAAAGGUAUGAAGAUGCUCUACAUCCUCUCUUGUUGCUGAUUUCUCCAUAGAUAGACCUUGCAUGGCGUAGGAAUUUUUUUGAAAUUACUACGGUCCCCAACAGUGGCAUCCGAGCCAAGGUUCUAUGCAUUGAUUCUAUGCACGAGUAGAACACAAAAGUUGUGGGCGUUGAUUUUGUAAAUUGCUUGCCGUUACUAGUCUUAUCUUGAUUUGGCAGCAUCGUGGGAUGAAGCGGCCCGGACCGACUUUACACGUAUCUUACAUGACACUAGUUCCACUGACCGACAUGCACUAGUUGCAUAAGGUGGCUAGCGGGUGUCUGUCUCUCCCACUUUAGUCGGAUCGGAUUCGAUGAAGAGGGUCCUUAUGAAGGGUAAAUAGCAUGGGCAUAUCAACAUUGUGGUUGUCACGUAGGUGAGAAACCCUAACCAGCCACGUAAAACUUGCAACGACAAUUAGAGGACGUCUAACUUGUUUUUGUAGGGUACGCUAUGUGAUGUGAUAUGGCCAAAAGGAUGUGAUGUUACAUAUGUGAUGUAUGAGAUUGAUCAUGUUCUUGUAAUAAGAUUCACGACUUGCAUUUCGAUGAGUAUGACAACCGACAGGAGCCAUAGGAGUUGUCUUAAUUUAUUGUAUGAGAUGCAGUGCCAUGUUGAUUACUUUACAUUAUCGCUAACGGUUAUCUAUAGUAGUAGAAGUAAUAGUUGGCGUGACGACUUCGCGAUGACAUAAUGAAGGAGAUCAUGAUGAUGGGGAUCAUGGUGUCAGGCCGGUGACGAUGAUGAUCAUGGUGCCCCGAAGAUGGUGAUCAAAGGAGCAAGAUGAUAUUGGCCAUAUAAUGUCACUAUAUGAUUGCAUGUGAUGUUUAUCAUGUGUUUACAUCUUAUUGCUUAGAAUGACGGUAGCAAAGAUAAGAUGAUACCUCAUAAAAUUUCGAGAUAUGUAUUCCCCUAAGUGUGCACCAUUACGAAGGUUCGUUGUUUCGAAGCACCACGUGUUGAUCGGGUGUGAUAGAUUCUAACGUUCGCAUACAACGAGUGUAAGCCAGUUUACACACGCAGAACACUUAGGUUGACUCAACGAGCCUAGCAUGUACAGACAUGGCCUCGAAUAUCGGUAGACCGAAAGAUCGAACAUGAGUCGUAUGGUUGAUACGAUCAUCAUAGAGAUGCUCACCAUUGAUGACUAGUCCGUCUCACGUGAUGAUCGAACACGGGCUAGUCGACGUUGAUCAUGUGUCACUUGGAUGACUAGAGGGAUGUCAAUCUAAGUGGGAGUUCAUUAGUAAUUUGAUUAGAUGAACUUAAUUAUCAGGAACGUAGUCUAAAAGUGUCUUUACAAAUAUUGUAGAUCUAAUGGACAACGCAGAUGUCUCAUUCAACUUCAACGCGUUCCUAGAGAAAACCAAGCUAAAAGGCGAUGGGAGAAACUAUGCGGAUUGGGCUCGUAACUUAAAGCUCAUCCUCAGUGUUGCCAAGAAGGCAUAUGUCCUUACUGCACCGCUAGGUGAUCCUCCCGUUCCCGCGGUAGACCAGGACGCUAGGAACGUCUGGCAGUCACGGAGUGAUGACUACUCUCUCGUUCAGUGUGGCAUGCUUUACAGUUUAGAACCGGGGCUCCAAAGGCGUUUUGAGCAACACAGAGCAUAUGAGAUGUUCGAGGAGAUGAAACUUGUUUUUCAAGAUCAUGCCCGGGUCGAGAGAUAUGUAGUCUCCGACAAGUUUUUUAGCUGUAAGAUGGAGGAGAAUAGUUCUGUGAGUGAGCACAUACUCAGAAUGUCUCGGUUGUACAACCGCCUGACUCAGCUGGGAGUUGAACUUCCGGAUGAUGCGGUCAUUGACAGAAUCCUCCAGUCGCUUCCACCUAGCUAUAAAGGCUUUGUGAUGAAUUACAACAUGCAAGGGAUGGAAAAGACUAUUCCCGAGUUGUAUUCAAUGUUGAAAUAUGCAGAGGUAGAAAUCAAGAAAGAGCAUCAAGUGUUGAUGGUCAAUAAGACCACCAUUUUCAAGAAGGGCAAGUGUAAGAAAAACUUCAAGAAAGACGGCAAAACAGUUGCCGCACCCGGUAAGCCAGUUGCCGGGAAGAAGCCAAAGAAAGGACCUAAGCGUGACGCUGAGUGUUAUUACUGCAACGGAACCGGUCACUGGAAGCGGAAUUUCCCCAAGUACUUAGCGGACAAGAAGGCCGGCAACGUCAAAGGUAUAUGUGAUAUACUUGUUAUUGAUGUGUACCUUACCAGCGCUCGUAGUAGCUCCUGGGUAUUUGAUACCGGUGAUGUUGCUCACAUUUGCAACUCUAAGCACGAACCGCGGAACAAGCGUAGGCUGGCUAAGGACAAGGUGACGAUGCGCAUCGGGAAUGGUUCCAAGGUCGAUGUGAUCGUCGUCGGCAUGCUACCUCUACAUCUACCUUCGGGGUUAGUUAUAAACCUUAAUAAUUGUUAUUUAGUACCAGCUUUAAGCUUGAACAUUGUAUCAGGAUCUCGCUUGAUGCAAGAUGGCUACUCAUUUAAAUCUGAGAAUAAUGGUUGUUCUAUUUAUAUGAGUGGUAUGUUUUAUGGUCAUGCCCCGCUGGCAAAUGGUUUAUUCCUGAUUAAUCUCGACUGUGAUGAUACACAUGUUCAUAGUGUGAGUGCUAAAAUAUGCAAGGUUGAUAAUGGUAGUCCCACAUACUUGUGGCACUGCCGCCUUGGUCAUAUCGGUGUAAAGCGCAUGAAGAAACUCCAUACCGAUGGACUUUUGGAGUGUGUUGAUUUUGAAUCAUUUGACACAUGCGAGCCGUGCCUCAUGGGCAAGAUGACCAAGACACCAUUCUCCAGAAUAAUGGAGCGAGCGACCAACUUAUUGGAAAUAAUACAUACCGAUGUAUGCGGUCCAAUGAGCGUUGAAGCUCGCGGAGGCUAUCGUUAUGUUCUCACCCUCACUAAUGAUUUGAGUAGAUAUGGGUAUGUCUACUUAGUGAAGAACAAGUCUGAAACCUUUGAAAAGUUCAAGGAAUUUCAGAAUGAGGUGGAGAAUCAACGUGACAAUAAAAUAAAGUUCUUACGAUCCAAUCGUGGAGGAGAAUAUUUGAGUCACGAGUUUGGAACACACCUAAGGAAAUGUGUAAUUGUUUCACAACUCAUGCCGCCUAGCACACCGUAGCGUUACGGUGUGUUUGAACAUCGUAAUCGCACUCUAUUAGAUAUGGCACGAUCUAUGAUGUCUCUUACCGAUUUACCGCUAUCAUUUUGGGGCUAUGCAUUGGAAACUGUUGCAUUCACUUUAAAUAGGGCACCGUCUAAAUCCGUUGAGACGACACCGUAUGAAUUAUGGUUUGGCAAGAAACAUAAGCUGUCGUUUCUGAAAGUUUGGGGCUGCGAUGCUUAUGUGAAGAAACUUCAACAAGAGAAGCUCGAACCCAUAGCGGAAAAAUGCGUCUUCAUAGGAUACCCUAAGGAAACUAUUGGGUACACCUUCUAUCUUAGAUCCGAAGGCAAGAUUUUUGUUGCUAGGAACGGAUCCUAUCUAGAGAAAGAGUUUCCCUCGAAAGAAGUAAGUGGGAGGAAAAUAUAACUUGAUGAGGUAAUUGUACCUCCUCUCGAACCGGAGAGUAGCGCGGCGCAAGAAAAUGUUUGUGAGGCGCCUGCACCGUCUAGAGAUGAAGUUAAUGAUGAUGAUCAUGACACUUCGGAUCAAGUUGCAAUUGAACCUCGAAGGUCGACAAGGGUACGUUCCGCACGAGAAUGGUACAACAACCCUAUCAUGGAAAUCAUGUUGUUGGACAACAGUGAACCUUCGAACUAUGAACAAACGAUGGCGGGCCCGGAUUCCAACAAAUGGCUAGAGGCCAUGAAAUCCGAGAUAGGAUCCAUGUAUGAGAACAAAGUAUGGACUUUGGUGGACCGCCCGAUGAUCGGUGAGCCAUAGAAAAUAAAUGGAUCUUCAAGAAGAAGACUGACGCGGAUGGUAAUGUGACCAUCUAUAAGGCUCGACUUGUCGCUAAGGGUAUCGACAAGUUCAAGGGAUUGACUACGAUGAGACCUUCUCACCCGUAGCGAUGCUGAAGUCGGUCUGAAUCAUAUUAGCAAUUGCCGCAUUUUAUGAUUAUGAAAUCUGGCAAAUGGACGUCAAAACAGCAUUCCUCAACGGCUUUCUUGAAGAAGAAUUGUAUAUGAUACAACCGCAAGGUUUUGUCGAUCCUAGCAAUGCUAACAAGGUAUGCAAGUUCCAACGCUUCAUCUAUGGGCUGGUGCAAGCAUCUUGGAGUUGGAACAUUCGCUUUGAUGAGGUGAUCAAAGCAUUUGGGUUUAUACAGACUUAUGGAGAAGCCUGUAUUUACAAGAAAGUGAGUGGGAGCUCUGUAGCAUUUCUCAUAUUAUAUGUGGAUGACAUAUUGUUGAUGGAAAUGAUAUAGAAAUAUUGGAAAGCAUAAAGGCCUAUUUGAAUAAGAGUUUUUCAAUGAAGGACCUUGGAGAAGCUGCUUACAUAUUAGGCAUCAAGAUCUAUAGAGAUAGAUCGAGACGCCUCAUAGGUAUUUCAGAAAGCACAUACCUUGACAAGAUAUUGAAGAAGUUCAAUAUGGAGAAGGCUAAGAAGGGGCUCUUGCCUGUAUUGCAAGGUGUGAGGUUGAGUGCCACUCAACGACCGACCACGACAGAAGAUAUAGAGAAGAUGAGUACCAUCCCCUAUGCUUCAGCCAUAGGCUCUAUUAUGUAUUGCAUGUUGUGUACCAGACCUGAUGUGAACCUUGCCAUAAGUUUGGUAGGGAGGUACCAGAGUGAUCCAGGAGUGGAUCACUGGACAAUGGUCAAGAAUAUCCUAAAGUACCUGAAAAGGACUAAAGAUAUGUUUCUCGUUUAUGGAGGUGCCAAAGAGCUCUUCGUAAAGGGUUACGUCGAUGCUAGCUUCAACACAGAUCCGGAUGACUCAAGGUCACAAACCGGAUACAUGUACAUUUUGAAUAAUGGGAUAGUUAGCUGGUGCUGUUGCAAGCAAAGCGUCGUGGCGGCAUCUACAUGUGAAGCGGAGUACAUCGCUGCUUCAGAAGCAGCACAGGAAAGAGUCUGGAUGAAGGAGUUCAUCACCGACCUAGGAGUGGUUCCAAGUGCGUCAGGCCCGAUGACUCUGUUGUGUGACAACACUGGAGCUAUUGCCAUUGCAAAGGAGCCCAGGUUUCACAAGAACACCAAGCUCAUCAAGCACCGCUUCAACUCCAUUCGUGGAUACACCCAGGAUGGAGAUAUAGAUAUUUGUAAAGUACAUACGGAUCUGAAUGUCGCAGACCCAUUGACUAAACCUCUUCCACGAGCGAAACAUGAUUAGAACCAGAACUCUAUGGGUGUUCGAUUCAUCACAAUGUAACUAGAUUAUUGGCUCUAGUGCAAGUGGGAGACUAUUGGAAAUAUGCCCUAGAGGCAAUAAUAAAGUGGUUUUUAUUAUGUUUCCUAGUUCAUGAUAAAUUGUCUAUUGUUCAUGCUAUAAUUGUAUUAACCGGAAACCGUAAUACAUGUGUGAAUAUAUAGAUAACAAUGUGUCCCUAGUGAGCCUCUAGUUGGCUAGCUCGUUGAUCAAUAAAUCAUCAUAGUUUCCUAAUCAUGGACAUUGGAUGUCAUUGAUAAUGGGAUCACAUCAUUGGGGAAUGAUGUGAUGGACAAGACCCAAUCCUAAGCAUAGCACUAGACCGUGUUGUCCGUCUGCUAAAGCUUUUCUAAUGUCAAGUAUGAUUUCCUUGUACAACUCCCGGAUACCAUAGGAGUGCUUUGGGUGUAUCAAACGUCACAGUGUAACUAGGUGAUUAUAAAGGUGCACUACGGGUAUCUCCGAAAGUGUUUGUUGGGUUAUACGAAUCGAGAUUGGGAUUUGUCACUCCGUGUGACGGAGAGGUAUCUGUGGGCCCACUUGGUAAUCCAUCAUCAUAUGGACCUCAGUGUGACUAAGGAAUUAGCCACGAGAUGAUGUGUUACGGAACGAGUAAAGAGACUUGCCAGUAACGAGAUUGAACAAGGUAUGGGGAUACCGAUGAUCGAAUCUCGGGCAAGUAUCAUAUCGGUAGACAAAGGGAAUUGCAUACGGGAUUGAUUGAAUCCUCGACAUCGUGGUUCAUCCGAUGAGAUCAUCAUCGAACAUGUGGGAACCAACAUGGAUAUCCAGACCCCGCUGUUGGUUAUUGACCGGAGAGGUGUCUCGGUCAUGUCUGCAUGUCUCCCGAACCCGUAGGGUCUACACACUUAAGGUUCGAUGACGCUAGGGUUAUAGGGAAAUAGUGUACGUGGUUACCGAAGGUUGUUCGGAGUCCUGGAUGAGAUCUCGGAUGUCACGAGGAGCUCCGAAAUGGUCUGGAGGUAAAGAUUGAUAUAUAGGAUGUCCUCUUUUGGUCACCGGAAAAGUUUCGGGCUCAUCGGUAGUGUGCCGGGAGUGCCAGGAGGGUGUCGGAGGACCCCCAGGAGGGGUGUGACGACCAAAGGAGUUCAGGGGUAGCUACACUUCACCAGUAGUGAUCAAAGUUAACAAGAUUAAGUUUGAUGCAAAAAUAGGAUGCUCCACCAAAUUUGAGCUUCACUGGACAAGUUUGGCAGUGCAAACUUGAAAUCAUCCCCAAAUGGCCAGAUCUGUCCCUUCUAAAGGGAAUGUGGGUAGAUUAAUCCCUACAAAUCCCAUUUUUGGCAUAGGCUCCUUAUUUUGUAUGUUGAGCACUCCUGCAAAGUUUCAAGCCAUCUGAACAAACUUUGACAUGUAGAGUUGCUCCAACUUGAUUCUGGACACAAAGGGUUUUAGGAUUAUUUGUUGAACCAAACCACCUUUAAAUGAGGUGAAACUUGUCAUGGCCACCAAAUAUAGCUUGGGGAGACUGCUGAAAUUUUAUAGGAAUUUAUUGGAAAUAUUUUCUUUGGAAAUAUUUCAAAAGGUGAAAACAAACAAAAUAGGUUUUCAGGAAUUUGCCCAAAUAAUUUGAACAUAAAUAGGGAUUUAAAAUCUUAUGUAUGGAAAAUAUAUGUCUUGUGAGUAUCUCCAAAUUUUCUCACAUUUUUCUGAGGCAGUAAAAUAAUAUUUCAUACAGAAAUGUCAUUUUUGUCCUCAGAAAUGGACAUGCAAAUAAAAUAGGAAAAUAUUUUAUGAAAUAAUUAUUUUAUGAUAUUGGAGAGUAAAAAUAGUUCUAAAACCAGAUUAUCAUCUUUGGGUAAAGGCACUCCCUUGACAUUAGGGACUUGUAGUGCAAACCCAAAGCAAGGUUUUCAAAUAAUAAAAAUGAGAAGAAGGUUUUUAUGAAAUAGUCAUGUUGUAAAAGCUAGUUUUGGGGUCACUCAAUCAAUCAUACACACAAUCAAUGACAAUCAUGGCACUCAUAUCAUUUGUUUUUUUAAUAAAUUCAUAUUUUGAAAACUACAGUUGAAGCGAGGUAAAAACAUGGUGUGAUAGUGUGGGACUAACCCAUGUAGAUGUGGAGAAUAACAAAACAACAAGGAUUGCUCCCAACUCUAGAUGAUCUUCAUCAGCAAUGAGCAUCCACUAUUGCAACAUCUACAUGAAGUCUUGAAUGACAAAACCCAAGGUUAGUUCAUCGCUCUUAGGGGGGGUAUCACAUCUAGGGUGAGCUUUGCUCUAAUACUUGAGCUAAAGCAUCUCUAAUUAUGUGAAUACAUUAAAAGCAUUAUGUAAAAGUUGCAACCCUACUUGAGCUUAGACGAUGAGUAUGACCUAUGAUCAAGUGUUCUCGCUUGGCUCCUAAGUCAGCAUACUCAUAUAUAGAUGAGUUUGUCAUCAACCAUUGCUUGAUAGAUUCUAGAGUGUUUGUGCAUGUUUCACAUAUUUCAUUUGCCAUUUUAAUGUGUGAGAGUCUUGGUAUGCAUGAUUUAUCAUUCAAAGACAUCCAAUUAUAAUUUAUUGGUUUUCACUUUUUUCUCGACAAUUGGAUGUACAAGAAUGCCUAAGUACCCUUUCUAGCUAUAUAUUCUAUCUUGUCUCAAAUCCUUCAUGCUUCAUCACAGAAUUUGAACAAACUAUUUUUCACACCCUUUUGGCGAGGAGCACUCGGAGCCAUCGAUCCUUCUAUGUCUGACUUCUGAAACCUUCUAAGUCUUUUUCGGUGUGACCAAGCUAUAUACAUUCGGUUCCACCGAAGGCAUUUAGACUGAUCUGAUUUCUCACCUCGAUACCACCGGUCAGAAUGUUUUGGCGUCACCGAGUUCCUCUGUCACUCGCAGUUAUGAACUUCAGUGCCACCAAUCCAUUAUUCUUGGUGUCACUAAUAGCACAUGGGUAUAUAUAAUCGCCAAAAUUGUCACAAUCGAGAUUGUGAAUCAGGUCGGAGCUCCGUUGGUAGGAACGUGAAUCACAGAAUCAUAACUAACAAGAUUGUAGAAACUUAGGCUCUAUGAGCAAAAUCAUAGAAUCGGAGGGGCUAGUUUGGAAUGUAAGAUCGUAAGAUUCUAAGACUUGAGUCGUGAUUGUGACAACUUUUAUAAUCUUGGAGAUGGGACUUUGAAUUUUUUUUCAAACCUCCCACUCAUGCACCCCAUUGUUGUUGUCACCUAGGUCUAAAGACGUUUGCCUUUGUCUCCAGCAUGCCCUCGUUACCGAAAUCUGCCGCAGUCAACGAGAAUCUUUGUCGCCCUUACCGUCGUAGAGAGGCUCCGCCAAGUUAGGGUAAAGCCUCAAUCCCCUUUGUGUUCCCCUCCUCAUUUUUGAGAAAAAGGACAUGCCUUACAUCUUGCCACAGUGUGCACAUUCUUAUCCUCUCAGAAAUUCUCGGCUAGUGUUAGGUUUCUGCAAUACGCAACUCGGACCCUCCUACGGAAUUUUUUUGUUAUCAUCAAUGUGGUCUCGGACAUGGCACAAAGGGCUUCUUGGUGAGACCAAGAGGAUCCUAUCAGUGUCACUGAAUACAGAUCUCAGAAGUGUCAUGAGCACUUCAGAGAGACCGGGAAACGUCAUGGUGAAACUGCAAAGACGUUGCCAAGUCUCUGUUGCUGCCUCGGAGCUUUCAAAAUCGAGUACUCGGUGAUUCUGAAUUGCAUAUUGUGAAACCCUAAAACUAAACAUAGAGUUCAAAUAUUUUUGAAAACAUCUAAAUUUUGUGAUGCUCAUCCAUUCCACUCUUGUAUAUCUAAUUCAUAGGGUCUCAGUUCAGCAUGUGUGCUUCAGAUGAUAGUCAGAACAAGUCUAGAGAGCCAAGUGUUGACUUGGAUGUGGGUACCAUCCCUGAGAAGAGCUAUCAUGAGGGAGAAACAAGUUCCCCUAGUUUUCCAAAGGCUGCAACCAAGGCCAAACAGAAGAGAAAUUCAGACGAUUAUGAUGAUGACUUUAAACUACAAAAAGUUACCUCCAAGAAGCAAGCCGAGAGAAAGAGGUGUUGCCAUGAACAUGCAUGAGUCAUCUGCUAUCAAUAGGGGUGUCUUUCUCACUCUGGAGAACCCAGGAGGAUCAAAGGGAACUAAGAUUUUGGCUAAGAAGCCAGAAAAGAACAAAGAAAGGAAGAAGACUGUGCAUGUGACACGCAAAAAGAAUUCUAUUUAUGUGCAUCCAGAAGAACAAGACCAUAAAGAAUUUGCUUCUAACCCUCGUCUUGCAAAGCAAUAGAUGUUAGUGAGAGAUGUUAUGCCAAAAAAACUGCCACUAAGACCAAGACCAAGACUGCCCCCCUGAUACGUCUCCAACGUAUCGAUAAUUUAUGAAGUAUUCAUGCCAUAUUUAACCAAGUUUUCUAUGAUUUUGAUGCACUUUUAUAUUAUUUAAAUGGAACUAGCCCGGACUAACGAUGUUUUUAGCAGAAUUGCCAUGGUGUUGUUUUUGUGUAGAAAAUAAAAGUUCACAGAAUCAAACGAAACUUUUUGGUGACUUUUAUGGAACAAAAGAGGCCCUGAGAGCAUCGGAGGUGUGCUAGGGGGUGGCCAAUGAGGCCACAAGCCCAGGGGUGCCCCCUAUGGUGCGCCCCUCGAGUUUGUUGUUUCCUCGUGGACCCCUGGCGUGAAACCGACACAAGAAAUUCCUAUAAAUCCCAAAAAACAUAAUGAGAAAAGAACUUCCGAACCGCCGCCGCAAGCCUCUAUUUCGAAGCAAUCUUAUAUGCAACACAUUUCUGCCACCCAGUCGGAGGGGGAAAUCAUCAUCGAUGGCCAUCUUCAUCAUUUCGACAAUAUCCAUGUCUAGGAGGGAGUAGCUCACCCCCGGGGCUGAGGGUAUGUACCGAUAGAUAUGUGUUUGAUCUAUCUAUCUCCCUCUAUAUCUCUCUUUCGUUCUUGAGUUGCCACGAUCCCGAUGUAUCACGAGCUUUGUUAAUAUAGUUGAAUGAUAUGGUGUGACCUGGCCACCUCUUAUCUGUCCUAGACUGGGGUUGGAUAUUGAGAGGCGCCGGACAGCCCGGACAUUCGUGGCCGGUUUGAGACGUUUGCGUUGAUCAAAUUUUUUUAGUCAGUUUGUCCGCCCGAAUGUUCGAAACAAGUUUUUUGGGCACCUAAUUGUAGAUGCUCUAAGAGCAUCUAUAGCCGCACAUAGAAAAUAUGACCACCUAAACGCCCGCGAACGCGCCCGGUGAGUGACCGAGCGUGUGCCCUAUUUGUCCGUCCACGCAGCCACACUCCUCAUUUUCUUCCUCAUAUGUCCGAUCACUUGCACAUGAUUGGUUAAGAGGAAUAAAGAUAAAGAAAAGAAUGAAUAAAUAAAAAGACAAGAUGGUCCGGCGUGGGGCCGCAUCGUUCGUGACGGACUGCCCGGGCGUGCCCGGGCGCGUCCAUGAGCCGACAUAUCCUCCCUAUAUUCGUACUCAAUACGAGGGUUCGCGGACAGCCUGAGCCUAUAGGAAUUGUAAGGGCAUUCUCCAGCUUAAGUAUUUUGGUGAUGAUGACAACUCACUAUGUUAUCUAACCGGUUGUCAAGUAUGCAGGUAUCAUUUGUCAAGAUACAAGACGGUUAGGCAUUCCCUUCACACGGAAAUGACCAAAGACAUGGUCCCUUCGUGUUUAAUUUCUUUGGUCAUAGGGAUCCCAUACUAUUAAGAGGGAAUCCACAUUGGAAUACUAUGGGUGAAUUAAUUCUUCUCUAACUCUGUUGCACCCAUCGUGUUUCAUCGCAUCUUGGAGAGAAGAGAAUCCCGGUUUUUCUAUACUGACCGGUUGUACCGGUGUUAUGGGCGGUUGUAUCGCUCAGUGGCUGGGCGGUUGUACCGGCGCUGCACCGGGUCACCACCGGACACGGUUGUGUUUCACUACGGUUAUUGGGUGGUGGUGGCCCGGUUGGACCGUUAUAUUAAAUAUAGCCGAUAUUGCCGGUGUUCCAAGCGGUUAUACCGCUUGGGACUUAGCCACGCCGAGCAACCAUGGCUGGUGACACCCUUGGGGCAACUUCAUGUUUUGGCCCGAUUGUAGGGCGGUGGUCGACUGGUUGUUCCACUAAAAUAGGAACACCGGUUGUACCGGCCAGUGCAAGUUUUGCUGUAAUGGUUAGAAAACUCUUUGUUUAUUAUUGUUGUGUUAGCGUCAUAUAGGUUGCUCACCUAGUUGCAUAUCUAGACAACCUAUUUGUUGCUAAACCUAAUUUGUUUAAAUAAAAUCUUAAAAUUUGUUAGUUGCCUAUUCACCCCCUCUAGUCAACCAUAUCGAUCCUUUCAAUUGGUAUUAGAACCUUGUCUAUUUAUUAAGGGUUUUACCACCCAAAGAGUAUGGUUGACGACGGAACGGGUUGAUAAGGUGCCCGAGGGAGCUGUUGCUAACUCGGUCACACGAGAGUAAUUGAAUGAGGUAAUGUCCACAUUUAAAUCCUCUAUGGCUAUCAAAGUCAAAAACAUGCUUAAGGAUUUCCUUGAUAAUUACAAGUCGUCUAUCGACCAAUUGUUGGCGGCGAAUCCCACAUCUUCGGAUUCGGGAAGCAAUUCCGAAAAGGGAAAUGCUAGUAGUGAAAAGGAUAAACUGCCUGAAGGAACAAUUGUGGCUAAUGCCUUUACCUCUAUUCCUCCUACCUUAGUCUAUGGAGGACCGGUUCACCCACCGCAUAUUAUUAAUCUUUGUCCUCCACCAAAGCUUGUCAAGAAUGAUUUUGCUAACUGGGUUUUCGUAUCAAGUCUCAUUUCAACCACAACUCAACAAAACUUUGGAGAAUCAUUUAGCAGGGAUGCUACCCACAUGAUCCAAGAAAUCUCACACCGAGAGAAGAGGCAGACAGUCAACUCAACCACUCUGCCUUGUUUAUUCUUCAAGCAGUCGUACAUAUUGAAGACCUUCCUCACUUGCGUCCCUUUACACGUGCCAAAGACUGUUGGAGCACAUCAUCUCCGUGUACAAGGGAAGCUCUAGCAUUCAUCGGUUGAUGACGAGUUGAUGGAUAUACUUCUCGCCCCUCCUUCGUUACCCCAAGUGGAAGGUGGAGAUGUAGCGAGCAGCAGAUUUUCCUUACACGGAGACUAUAAGGUUUAUCGAACCAACAUGACUCCUAGGCUCAACAAGUAGGUGUCUUCCACAUGGCGCUAGCAGAAGACAUGGACCUGCACACACAACAAAUAACUUUGCUCCCAACGAGUACAGAGAGGUUUUCAAUCUCUCCGGCCUUGUAGUUUGCAAAGGAUCAAAACACAAAUGGGAAAGUAGUAGUGAUUGCAACGGAAAAGUAAAUGAAAGUGGUAAAUGAUGGAGGUGUAAACAAUGAUGGUGAUAUGGACCGUAGUCACAUGAUGUUCACUAGUGAUGUCUCUCUCCCAAAAGAUGAUAAACAACUAUGCUUGGGUAAACAAAUCACAGUUGGGCAAUUGACAGAAUUAUGAUAGCACCGCAAUGCUAAUUAUGCUACUUGAUAGUUAGAGGUUCAAUACUAAUGGGCACUACGCCAAGGCAAGUAGACCAUUUAUUCAUCAACAUCUAGUUAUUAAUCAUCCACCUUGAGAUAUCUAUCCAGAACAUCUCGUCGGUGUUAAGUUGCGAGCCCCACCCAAAAUGUAAAGUCAAAGCAACGGACAACUGCAUUAACGAACUAUGUGUAAGGUAAACGAUCAUUGCAACUGUGGUUACAACCACCAUUAUUUUCUCCCUGGUGGCAACAAGCACAUCCCCUAGUCUCAUGUUUCUGUCACUCAAGCUAAACAUCGAGGGGCAUGAACCCACAAUCAUGCAUAACGCUCCCUCUUGGAGUUACAAUCUACUACUUGGCAAAAGCAAUGAAUAGCAACGGAGAACAUGCAUGAAUCACUAAGGAACAUAAUAUAAAAGGAUAAUCAAAUAUAUAACUCAUAACAAUCUGAACAUAAUCUCAUAAUCCAUCGGAUCCCAACGAAUCGAGCAUAGCAAUAGCAAGAGAAUUGCAUAGAUGCCUUGAUCAUGUAGGGCAGCUCACAAGGACUAACCAUUGAAGCACAAGAUUGGAGAGAAGACAUCACAUAACUAAUGGUCAUGAACCCAUGGUCCAAGGAGGACUGCUCACGGCACGUACGGGAAGCGUCCAUGGUGGUGGAGAAGCUCCGGAGGUCAAUCCUCCCUCCGGCAGGGUGCCGGGAAGAGGUCUCCUCACGCUUCCGAUCUUGGAAGCGCUGCAGCGCGGAACGAUGGAGAAAUUCGCGAUUCGAGAAAGUCUGCAAGGGUUUCCUCUCGGGACUUUAAAUAUAGGCCGAAGGAGGGCACUGGAGGAGGUGGGACCCAUCCAAGCAGCCUCCUGGCGCGACCUAGGGCCUGGCCGCACGAGCAGGUCGCCUCGGAGGCCCCUGGCCCCUCGUGUGGCCCAUCUUCGGUGAUCCGGAAGCUUCUAUUUCACUGAUUUUCUAUAUAUUUUUUCUGGAAUUUUUCGGGCUUCGGAAAAUUGGGUAAAAGCCCGUGCAAAAUAGACAUCAGCAGACAGAAACUGGCACUAGGUGCACUGAGUUAGUAGGUUAGUCCAAAUAUGUGUAAAAUGAUAUAAAAGUAUAGCAAAACAUAUAACAAUGUCACCCAAAAUAUCAUGGAACACACAGAAAUUAUAGAUACGUUUGGGACGUAUCAACAUCCCCAAGCUUAAUUUCUGCUCGUCCUCGAGUAGAUAAAUGAUAACACAAUAAUUUCUGUGGUGACAUGCUAACACACAUAUAGGAAAUUCAAAGUAAAGCCAGUAAGAUAUGCAAUUCAAGUCAAGACAAUAACAAGCAAGAGCUUAUAUCUAGUAUUGAGUUUAGCAAAGUAAGAACAUAAAGGUGCAAGAGCUCUCGCUAUUCGUGACUCGAAUGUCUCCAAAUGGUGUUUGCGUGCAAGAAGUGGGAGAUGGGUAGAGAUCAUAAAAUAUAUUUUUAAUUGAUAACUCAAUCUACUAAACCUCACACUUAGUGUCCUUCGGAAUCUUAUUUUGACUCAUCCCCAGACCACUAGUCAGGCACAAGUCAAAAUGAUCCUCUCCCUUUCGACUUUGAGCACUCAUGCAAUGGAUGAGCGUAAGCAAGAUAUGUUGGCACUUAUGAUGGCAAAUAGAAUAAUGAUGGGGAAGGAAGACAAAAAGGUGUGAAAGGCUCACAUCAAUGAGGACAACCAUAGGCGAGAGAAAGCCAAAUGAUAGGUAUGAUGUGAGGAGAAGGGAUUGCCAUGUAACGGAUGCACAUAUGAGCUAAGGUAAGCUCUCCAAUGGAACUAGUGGGGGUGCAUACAACUUGUUUGUUGAUGAAGACCUAGAGCUCAUUUGAGCAGGCUCAUCAUUUGAAUAUGCAAACCAAGUUCUAUAGUGUAAGGGUCCCCACAUAGUUAUGCAUGAAUGAUAAUCUCUAUGUAGUACCAAUAUAGCAAUGGAGUACGAGUGUGGAUCUUUCAAAAGGAAUGGUAGUGUUGCCCCCUGAUGUCAGUUGUGCUUCCCUGGCAACGGCGCCAGGAAUAGUCGUGUCGACGGCACCAGGAAUCCUUCUACUACGGCUACGCCUUAAGGGACUUCCUAGGCAAAUAUGCAAAGGAUUUCCCCCGUGGCCUUGGAGCCUUGCGUUGGUGUUCCCUCGAAGCGGAAAGGGUGAUGUAGCACAGCGGUGGUAAGUAUUUCCCUCAGUUUGAGAACCAAGGUAUCGAUCCAGUGGAGGAGUAUCACAAGAGCCUGCACAAACACAAAGAACCUGCUCCCAACGCUAUGAAGGGGUUGCCAAUCCCUUAUAGAUUGUUUGCCAAGUGAGAACUGAAAGCAACAAAGUAACAAAUUAGAGUAAAAGCAAAAGUGGAAACGAUAGAUGUGAAUAGACCCGGCGGGCGUAGUGUUUACUAGUGGCUUCUCNNNNNNNNNNNNNNNNNNNNNNNNNNNNNNNNNNNNNNNNNNNNNNNNNNNNNNNNNNNNNNNNNNNNNNNNNNNNNNNNNNNNNNNNNNNNNNNNNNNNNNNNNNNNNNNNNNNNNNNNNNNNNNNNNNNNNNNNNNNNNNNNNNNNNNNNNNNNNNNNNNNNNNNNNNNNNNNNNNNNNNNNNNNNNNNNNNNNNNNNNNNNNNNNNNNNNNNNNNNNNNNNNNNNNNNNNNNNNNNNNNNNNNNNNNNNNNNNNNNNNNNNNNNNNNNNNNNNNNNNNCACGUCCAAAACAAGUAGACCGAUACUGUCUGCAUCUACUACUAUUACUCCACACGUCGACGCCAUCCAGCAUGCAUCUAGUGUAUUAAGUCCAAGAGAACAGAGUAACGCCUUAAGCAAAAUGACAUGAUGUAGAUGGACAAUCUCAUAUCAACGACAUAGCCCAUCUUGUUACCCUUGAUGGCAACUACUUAAUGUGUGCCUUGCUGCCCCUACUGUCAUUGGGAAAGGUCACCACAUGGUAAGAACCCAAAACCAAGCACGUCUCCCAUUGCAAGAAUCAUAGAUCUAGUUGGCCAAACAAAACCCAAGACUCGGAUAGACUUACAAGGAUAUCAAAUCAUGCAUAUAAGAAAUCAGCAAAUACUCAAAUAUAUAUCAUAGAUAAUCUGAUCACAAAUCCACAAUUCAUCGGAUCUCGACAAACACACCACCAAAGAAGAUUACAUCGGAUAGAUCUCCAUGAAGAUCAUGGAGAACUUUGUAUUGAAGAUCCAAGAUAGAGAAGAAGCCAUCUAGCUACUAACUACGGACCCGUAGGUCUGAAGUGAACUACUCACGAGUCAUUGGAGGGGCGAUGAUGAUGAUGAAGAAGCCCUCCAACUCCAAAGUCCCCUCCGGCAGGGCGCCGGGAAGGGUCUCCAGAUGAGAUCUCGCGGAAACGGAAGCUUGCGGCGGCGGAAAAGUAUUUUCGUGGCUCCCCUGAUUUUUUGUUGUAUUUUAGGGAAUAUAUAGGCCAAAGAUCUAGGUCAGGGGCGCUCAGGGAGGCCACAAGCCCUGCCACCGCCGCCUCCCCCUGGUGGCAGAGUGGGGGCUUGUGGGCUCCGUGGAGCCCUCCUGGCUUGGCCCACAGGCCCGUGAUCUUCUUCCGUCCGAGAAAAAAAUCAUUUCGGGGAUUUUAUUCCGUUUGGACUCCGUUCCAAAAUCAGAUCUGAAAAGAGCCAAAAACACAGAAAAAACAGGAACUGGCACUUGAGACCGAAUUAAUAAGUUAGUCCCAAAAAAGAUAUAAAAGGUACAUAUACCAUCCAAAGAUGACAAGAUAACAACAUGAAACCAUAAAAAAUUAUAGAUACGUUUGAGACGUAUCAAGCAUCCCCAAGCUUAACUCCUGCUCGUCCUCGAGUAGGGAAGUGAUAAAGAAUGAAUUUUUGAUGCUUUCAUGCUACCUAGCAUAGAUGUCCUUUGUAACUCCUCUUAUGUGACGUGAAUGUUCAGAUCCAUUAGAUUAAAAAAAAAUAGUUUGCUAUUGACGUGGAAACAAUUAUAAUUCAAGCAAACUAGCAAGGUAAUCACGAACUUUCAAAAUAACAAGUCCAAAAGAAAGUUAUCCCUACAAAAGCAUAUAGUCUGGCUAUGCUCUAUCAUCAUUGCACAACGAAUUUAAAUCAUGCACAACCCCGGUAUUGGCCAAGUAAUUGUUUCACACCUUUACUUUCUCAAACCUUUUCAACUCUUACGCAAUACAUGAGCGUGAGCCAUGGUUAUAACACUAUAGAUGGUGUGGAGUGUGGUGGAGGUUGCAAGACAAAAAAGGAGAAGAUAGUCACAUUAACUAGGCAUAUCAAUGAGCUGUGGAGAUGCUCAUCAAUAGAUAUCAAUGUGAAUGAGUAGGGAUUUCCAUACAAAUGAUGCACUAGAGCUACGAGUAUGUGAAAGCUCUUAGAGAAAACUAGCGGGUGUGCAUCCUACUUGCUUGCUCACGAAGACCUAAGGCAAUUUUGAGGAAGCCUAUCAUUGGAAUAUACAAGGCAAGUUACAAAAUGAAAAUUUCCCACUAGUUAUAUGGUGGUGACAAGACGAGUGACUCUCAAUCAUGAAGAUCAUGGUGCUUAAUAUGCACACGAGUGUGGAAAAAGUGGUAGCAUUGUCCCUUCUCUCUUUUUCUCUCAUUUUUUUGGUGGGCUCUUUGGCCUCUUUUUUUAAAAUUUUGGUGGGCUUCUUUGGCCUCUUUUAUUUCCUCACAUGGGACAAUGAUCCAUUAAUGAUGAGCAUCACACUUUCAACUCAAAACUUAGAGCAACUAUGACUCUAUAUGGAAUGCCUUCUGUAGUGUACCGUGGCAAUGAUCUAGCAUGGCAUAGACAUUAAUGGAAAACAUCAUGCUAGCUAUCUUACGAUCGUGCAAAGGCAAUGUAGACGUGGUGGCACAUGUCAUGGUGGUAGUUGCAUGGCAAUAUAUCUCGGGAUGACUUUGUAAAAGCCAUAGUAGGCAGGUAUGGUGGCUGUUUUGAGGGAGGCUAAUGGUGGGUUUUGUGCACCGGCGAAAGUUGCACGGCACUAAGAAGAUAGUGAUGGUGGAAGGUGAAAGUGCAUCUAAACCAUGGACUCAACAUUAGUCAUGAAGAACUCAUAUACUUGUUGCAAAAGUUUUAUUAGUAAUCGAAACAAAGCAUUCAACGCAUACUCCUAGGGGAAGGGUUGGCAGGUAUAAACCAUCGUGCGAUCCCGACCGCCACGCAAAGGAUGACAAUCAAUAGACUAAUCAUGCUCAGAUUUCAUCACAUAGCGGUUCACCAUACGUGCAUGCUACGGGAAUCACUAACUUCAACACAAGUAUUUCUAGAUCCACAACACCUUACUAGCAUGACUUCAAUAUUACCAUAACCACAACUCAAAACUAAUUGAGAUGAAUCAAACUUCUCUAACUAUUCAAUGCACAUGAAGGUGGAAGUUUUCGUAUCCCUUUGGAUAACUACCCCUUUUGAGACUACUUUCAAAGCAUAGAUCAACUACGAAGCCACGCACCGCUGUGCACUAAAAGAUAUAAGUGAAGCACACAGAGCAAAAGUAUCUAGCUCAAAAGAUAUAAGUGAAGCACAUGUGAGCUGAAUUGUCUACCAAAAGAUAUAAGUGAAGCUCGACAAAAUCACGGUGAGUGCAUGUCUCUCUCUCUAGGUGUGCAACAAGGAUGAUUGUGACACAACAAAAAUAAAAGACUCCUGCGAUACAAAACGCUCCAAGAAAAAGCACAUAACAUGUGGUGAAUAAAAAUAUAACCCCAAGUAACGUUACCGAUGGAUUGAAGACGAGAGAGGGGAUGCCUUCCCGGGGCAUCCCCAAGCUUAGGCUUUUACGACAUCCUUGAAUCUUUUGGGGUGCCUUGGGCAUCCCCAAGCUUGAGCUCUUGCCACUCUUUAUCUCUUUGUCCAUAAGAACUUCACCCAAAACUUGAAAACUUCACAACACGAAACUUAAACAGAAACUCGUGAUAACAUUAGUAUGAGAAAGCAAACCACCACUUCCUUAGUUACUGUAGCAAACUUAAAUUCUACUUACGCUGAUGUUGGGUUAUUGUAUUUUCAAUCUUCCAUGGCUAAUACCCCCCGAUACUAUCCAUAGUUUCAUCAAAAUAAGCAACCAACACAAGAAAAACAAAAUCUGUUAACAGCAGACCAGUCUGUAGCAAUCUGUAUAUUUCGUAUACCUAUGGUACUUCAAAAAUUCUGACAAAUUAGGACAGUCUGAAGAAUUUGCGUAGCAAUCAGCAACAAAAAGUAUCAACUCAAAAGCUCUUAUAGAGAAAAAUGAAAAUUAUUUUCGUGAGCAGAAAGUUUCUGUCUUUUCCAGCAUGACCAAACGAUCAUCCCCAAGACUAAUCAUAACGGUUUUGCUUGGCACAAACGCAAAAGGAAGCACAAAAAACACAAUCAUAACAGAUUAUGAAAGUGUGGAAAACACAAAACAGAAAGAAAAAGGAUAAAUUCGUUGGGUUGCCUCCCAACAAGCGCUUUCGUUUAACGCCUGUAGCUAGUCAUUGAAUGAUGCUCUCACAAAAGACAAGAAUUGAAACACAACGAGAGCAUCCUAAAGCAUGUGAAAAUCACAUCUAAGUCUAACAUACUUCCGAUGCAUAGGCAUUUUAUAGGAAAACGGAUUGUCAAGACAACCAAUAGCUGCCAUAUGCAAGGAAGAAGAAAGAGACAAUAGCAAUCUCCACAUAAUGAGAGGUAAUUGGGUAACAUGAAAGUUUCUACCAAAAUAUUUUCCUCUCUCAUAGCAAUUACAUGUGGGAUCAUAUUCAAAUUCAACAAUAUAGCUAUCCCAUAGGAUAUUCUUUUCAUGAUCCACAUGCAUGCAAAGUUGACGCUCUUCAAAGAUAGUGGGAUUAUCAUCAAUUAAAGUCAUGACUUCCCCAAUCCCACUUUCAAUAUUGUUGCAAAUAUCAUAUUCAUCAUGAGGUUCGAAUUUUUUUCAAGAUCAUAAGAAAGAUCAUCACCCCAAUCAUGAUUAUUGCAACAAGUAGUGGACAAAGCAAAACUAGCAUCCCCAAGCUUAGGGUUUUGCAUAUUUUUAGCAUGAUUGUCACUAAUAGAAUUUAUAGUGAAACCAUUGCAAUCAUGCUUUUAAUUCAAGGAGCCCUCGUGAAUCACUUCAUAAAUUUCUUCCUCACAAUUUUCAGAUUCACGCGUCUGAAGCAAAACUCCAAAAAGAUAGUCAAGUGCCCUCAACUCACUAGCAAUUCGUUCCACAUAAGUGGGUCUCUUAAAGAGAUUAGCUAGUGGAUGAGGAUCCAUAUCAAUAGUUUUUCAGCAAGAGAAGAUGCAAGCAUAAUGAAGGCACAUAGCACAGAAGCGAACAGAAAGCAAGAGAGAGAAAAGGGCGAACAAAAAAGGCAAAGGAGAAAGGCAAAUGAAAACGGCAAAUGUGACGUGGGGGAGAGGAAAUCGAGAGGCAACUGGCAACAAAAGUAAAUGCAAGAGAUGAGUUUGUGAGACCUACUUGGAUAGAUCUUGAUCUCUCCUCCCCGACAACGGCGCCAGAAAUACUUCUGAUGUCAGCUGUGCUUCCCUGGCAACGGCGCCAGGAAUAGUCGUGUCGAGGGCACCAGGAAUCCUUCUGCUACGGCUACGCCUUAAGGGACUUCCUAGGCAAAUAUGCAAAGGAUUUCCCCCAUGGCCUUGGAGCCUUGCAUUGGUGUUCCCUCGAAGCGGAAAGGGUGAUGUAGCACAGCGGUGGUAAGUAUUUCCCUCAGUUUGAGAACCAAGGUAUCGAUCCAGUGGAGGAGUAUCACAAGAGCCUGCACAAACACAAAGAACCUGCUCCCAACGCUAUGAAGGGGUUGUCAGUCCCUUAUAGAUUGUUUGCCAAGUGAGAACUGAAAGCAACAAAGUAACAAAUUAGAGUAAAAGCAAAAGUGGAAAUGAUAGAUGUGAAUAGACCCGGGGGCCGUAGUUUUUACUAGUGGCUUCUCUNNNNNNNNNNNNNNNNNNNNNNNNNNNNNNNNNNNNNNNNNNNNNNNNNNNNNNNNNNNNNNNNNNNNNNNNNNNNNNNNNNNNNNNNNNNNNNNNNNNNNNNNNNNNNNNNNNNNNNNNNNNNNNNNNNNNNNNNNNNNNNNNNNNNNNNNNNNNNNNNNNNNNNNNNNNNNNNNNNNNNNNNNNNNNNNNNNNNNNNNNNNNNNNNNNNNNNNNNNNNNNNNNNNNNNNNNNNNNNNNNNNNNNNNNNNCACGUCCAAAACAAGUAGUCCGAUACUGUUUGCAUCUACUACUAUUACUCCACACGUCGACCGCUAUCCAACAUGCAUCUAGUGUAUUAAGUCCAAGAGAACAGAGUAACGCCUUAAGCAAAAUGACAUGAUGUAGAUGGACAAUCUCAUAUCAACGACAUAGCCCAUCUUGUUACCCUUGAUGGCAACUACUUAAUGUGUGCCUUGCUGCCCCUACUGUCACUGGGAAAGGUCACCACAUGGUAAGAACCCAAAACCAAGCACGUCUCCCAUUGCAAGAAUCAUAGAUCUAGUUGGCCAAAAAAAACCAAUACUCGGAGAGACUUACAAGGAUAUCAAAUCAUGCAUAUAAGAAAUCAGCAAAGACUCAAAUAUGUAUCAUAGAUAAUAUGAUCACAAAUCCACAAUUCAUCGGAUCUCGACAAACACACCGCCAAAGAAGAUUACAUCGGAUAGAUCUCCAUGAAGAUCAUGGAGAACUUUGUAUUGAAGAUCCAAGAUAGAGAAGAAGCCAUCUAACUACUAACUGCGGACCCGUAGGUCUGAAGUGAAGUUCUCACGAUUCAUAGGAGGGGCGAUGAUGAUGAUGAAGAAGCCCUCCAACUCCAAAGUCCCCUCCGGCAGGGCGCCGAGAAGGGUCUCCAGAUGAGAUCUCGCGGAAACGGAAGCUUGCGGCGGCUGAAAAGUAUUUUAGUGGCUCCCCUGAUUUUUUGCUGUAUUUUAGGGAAUAUAUAGGCCAAAGAUAUAGGUCAGGGGGCGCUCUGGGAGGCCACAAGCCCUGCCAUCGCCGCCUCCCCUGGUGGCGGAGUGGGGGCUUGUGGGCUCCCUGGAGCCCUCCUGGCUUGGCCCACAGGCACCCUGAUCUUCUUCCGUUCGGGAAAAAAAUCAUUUCGGGGAUUUUAUUCCGUUUGGACUCCCUUCCAAAAUCAGAUCUGAAAAGAGCCAAAAACACAGAAAAAACAGGAACUGGCACUUGGCAUUGAAUUAAUAAGUUAGUCCCAAAAAAGAUAUAAAAGGUACAUAAAACAUCCAAAGAUGACAAGAUAACAGCAUGAAACCAUCAAAAAUUAUAGAUACGUUUGAGACGUAUCACCCCCUUCUCUCUUUUUAUUUCUUUAUUUCUUUUUGUUUUUCUCUUUUCUCUUUUUAUUUUUUUGUGGCCUCUUUGGCUCUUUCUUUUUAUCUCUCAGUUGUCCUCUUCGGGAUCUUUUGUUUGUCCUCUUUGGGAUCUUUUCCUCACUUAAGGGCAACACUCUAUGUUUUACAUGAAUAAAAAGAAAAAUCAUCACACUUUAUAAGAAGUACUCAACAUAAAGACAAGUGAAAACUAUCAUGAUGUAUGCAAAUGUAUGCCUCUACCAGUGUAGCAGGAUAUGCAAUGAUACUAGCGCAUCAUGUAGCAGUAAUACGGGCAAGGCCCAACUAGUAUGCGACUCUACAAUCAAGCAAAAGCAUGUAUGACAUGAAGAUCAAGUCAUGAGAUGGUGGAUGUUGCAUGGCAAUGUAUCUCGGAAAGGCUAUGGAAAUGCCUUAGUAGGUAGGUAUGGUGGAUGUUUUGAGGAAAGAUAUAAUGAGGCUUAUGUAUGACACAGCGUAUCAUGUCAUGGGUUUGGAUGCACCAGCGGAGUUUGCACCAACUCUCAAUGUGAGAAAGGGCAAUGCACGGUACCGAAGAGGCUAGCAAAAUAUGGAUGGUGGAAGUGCCAACAAUCAAUACUCACAUUUAGUCCGAAGAACUCAUACACUUAUUAUCGGUAACUCUCUAUUUAGUUAGGACAUUCCAAAAGAGACAAGUACCCCGAGGAGGAGUGUUUGGGGGUUUGGUUAUCCUUGCAAAUCCUCGACUCAUGGUAAUGUGAGGGUACUCUACAUAUUCCAACCCCUCCAGAGGUUAGCGGUCAAUUUAGUAGCUAGAGUUCUCAACUAAUUUUAGUUUCUGAAAAUCACACAGAUUUCCCAAAAUACGACACCUAUCACUAAUAGGCUCAAGCUCUUGGCACCAAUAGUCCAAACAUUACUCAAAUCAAUACCUCAAAACUAUUGGAAGUUACUACUAUACUUAAAUAGCAACCUCAAUUACCUACUCAUGCAAGACAUACAACUCAGUGCAACGAGCCAACUCUCUAAACAAGAUAAGCAUGAUAAGUCAAGAGAGUUCCAGAAGCAACCUAAAUAAUAGCUCCUAAAAAUAUAAGCAUGAAAACUAAGAGCUAAACAUAACAGUAGCUACGAAGAAAUGAAGAACACAUAAAAGGGAUAAGCAUGAAAACCUAUGUUGUGUUCUAGAGUGGAAUGGAGCGUGUCUCUCUACCAAACAAGGUAGGCUAGGUUCCGACUUGUUAUGAACAAAAAGCAAAACUAAAACAAAUUAAAAAGUAAAGAGCGGGACGAUUCAAGCAUAGCACAUAUCAUAUGAAGUGAUAAAAAUAUAGCAUGGAGAUGGACGACUGAUGAUUGUUGAUAGAGAAGGGGAUGCACGGGGGCAUCCCCAAGCUUAGACGCUUGAGUAUCCUUUGAAUUUUCCAGCACAUUGGGAUCCUAAGCUUNNNNNNNNNNNNNNNNNNNNNNNNNNNNNNNNNNNNNNNNNNNNNNNNNNNNNNNNNNNNNNNNNNNNNNNNNNNNNNNNNNNNNNNNNNNNNNNNNNNNUUUGAGAUACCCAUUACACUCGGAGAGGAAGGAGAUAUGCUCCUCCCUGAGAAUUUUCUAGAUUAUGACAGCAUGGUUCGCCAUGAUUUUCUGGAUAGAGAUGCUAGUAGGCGGAUGAUUUAUAACCUGGUAUUUAGUCAGGGUACUCGAGAGACUUUUACUUUGCCUUCUCCUUCUUUGUUCGAUCUUCACGCAGGCAGGUAAACUAUUAUGCCCUCGGACAUCUACGCAUAUUGGGGCUUGGCCCAACCACAGGUGCAUGUGCCCGAGCCGCCAGUCGAGUAUCAUACUCCAAUUUAUCAGUGGGAGCCAAAGGAACUCACACAGCAAUGGCAUCCACAGUCUGCUCCGGAGUAUCCCGGAGCUGGUUAUUUCCCGCCUUGGGAGUAGACCAAACUAGGCCAAAAGCCUAAGCUUGGAGAAGUACGUGUUCUCACCGACUUCACAUUCAUGCUUAUGCUUUCGCUUUGUUAGCCGGUGUUUACACUUUGCCACUGUAUUAUCCAUGCUAGUUUAUUUUCAUUUUCUUGUUUUGUGUNNNNNNNNNNNNNNNNNNNNNNNNNNNNNNNNNNNNNNNNNNNNNNNNNNNNNNNNNNNNNNNNNNNNNNNNNNNNNNNNNNNNNNNNNNNNNNNNNNNNNNNNNNNNNNNNNNNNNNNNNNNNNNNNNNNNNNNNNNNNNNNNNNNNNNNNNNNNNCUUGUUUUGUGUCCUUUUGAGAAAAUCCAAAAAGAUUUUUCUUUCUUCUUUUUCUUGUUGGGAGCUUUCGCAUGUAAAUAGUUUUCUUUUUCUUUGGGUCAAGGUAGAAGAUAUUGGUUACAAUGUUUAGUGGUUCUUGCAUGCAUACCUGUUUAGCUUUCAAAGAGACAUAUUACUUUGUCUUCACCUUUGUGUUUGCCUGCAGAUUUAGCUUAGUCCAAUGCAAAAGCACUCUUAUUAUUGUUCACGUCGUUCGAUCGUGCAAGUGGAAGGCAAUAAUGACGAUAUAUGAUGAAGUGACUGAGACUGAAAAGAUGGUAUGAACUCUAUCUAUUUUGUUUUUGUAAAUAUGACUAGCUUGUCAACCCAGAUUCAGCUUUGUUGUGAGAGAACCAUGUUUGCAAUGACAACUUAGAGAUCAUAGUUUCUGAUGCCAUGCUUAAUUAGCUAGGAUCUUGUAAUGGUUUGUCUUGAAUGCCAACAUAGAUUUUGAGAUGACUAUGAUGUAGUAUGAUAGGAUUGUAUUCUCCUUUGAAUCAUUCAAGUGGCUUGACUUGGCGCAAGUUCAUGCAUGUAGUUGAAACAAAAUCAACAUAGCCUCUAUGAUGUUCGUGUUCAUGGUGAUUUGUAUCCUGUUCAUGCUUGCAUUCAAUGUUAGCCAAACUCAUUGCAUCUUGAUGACUGUUGUCGCUCUCUAGUUGGUCGCUUCCCAGUCUUUUGCUAGCCUUCACUUGUACUAAGCGGAAUACUGCUUGUGCAUCCACUUCCAUAAACCCAAAAGUUUUCCCAUGACAGUCCACCAUACCUACCUAUUUGCGGUAUCUACUUGCCGUUCCAAGUAAAUUUGCAUGUGCCACUCUCUAAACCUUCAAGAAAUAAUCUGUUUUGGAUGCCCGAACCGCUCAUGUGGUGACAGGGGGCUAAUGGUAUCUUCCAUGUUAGGAGUGUUAUCCUCGACAUGUGUUUAUUCACUGUCAUUCACGAGAAAGGGGCCGGUAAUUGGAAUGCCCAGUUCCACGCUUAAAUCGAAAACAGAACUGUAAAACAAGACCCCCCGGAUUGGUGUUAGUAUGGACGGUACCCGAGGAUUCGGCUAGCCGUGGUGUGUGAUCGAUUGGUGGUGGGGGAGUUAAAGCUUUACUUUUAUGUUUGGGACUACCUAUAGCAUGAGUAGCAUGGAAGAUAUUGAGAACUCUUGGUCAUUGCGUUGACAAUGAAAGCAUGCCACCCAAAAUUAUUAUCUCUGUUUUCAAAACUUGAGCUCUGGCACCUCUGCAAAUCAAUGCUUCCCUCUGCGAAGGGCCUCUGUAUUUAUUUUUCCUGUCGAGUCAUCCUCCUCUUAUAUAAGCACCAAUUAGAGAGCACCUCUGUCAGUUUUAUGCUUUUCUUUUGAUUGAUAUUGAGUAUGACUAUGACUGGAUCUUCUUUGCUAUGAAUUACAAUGUUUAGUCAGCCCUUGAUCUUUNNNNNNNNNNNNNNNNNNNNNNNNNNNNNNNNNNNNNNNNNNNNNNNNNNNNNNNNNNNNNNNNNNNNNNNNNNNNNNNNNNNNNNNNNNNNNNNNNNNNNNNNNNNNNNNNNNNNNNNNNNNNNNNNNNNNNNNNNNNNNNNNNNNNNNNNNNNNNNNNNNNNNNNNNNNNNNNNNNNNNNNNNNNNNNNNNNNNNNNNAUGUUUUGCGGUCUCAGAAAGAGCUAGCGAGAUACCACCUAUUCAUAUUGCUUCAUGCUUGUUUUGACUAGAGUGUUGGUAUUUGAAACUCAUUAUUAUUUGCUCGUUAGCUGAUUAUGCCAUUGAUAUUAGUUUACCGUGAGACCUUUGUGUCACUUGCUUAUGUGGUUAACUUGUGAUCUUGCUGAAAUUCUGGUUAUGAGUUAGACAUAGUUGCAACAACAAGAUCAAACAAAGUUUAUCAAAGUUUUUCUUUCUCUCUCAGUUUGUCAACUGAGUUUCUUGAGGACAUACAACGUUUUAAGCUUAGGGGAGUUGAUACGUCUCCAUCGUAUCUACUUUUCCAAACUCUUUUGCCCUUGUUUUGGACUCUAAUUUGCAUGAUUUGAAUGGAACUAACCUGGACUGACGCUGUUUUUAGUAGAAUUGCCUUGGUGUUGUUUUUGUGCAGAAAUCAAAGUUCUCAGAACGUCCUGAAAAUUUACGGCGAAUAUUUUUGGAAAAUAUGAAAAAUACCUGUGCAAAGAUCCACACGAGGGGGUGGGCAAGUGGUCCACAAGCCCUAUAGCCGCCACCCCCUGGUGGCGGAUGGAAAGCUUGUGGGGCCCACGUGGCUCUGCCGCCCCCAAUCUCAGCUCUAUAAGUUCACUUUCGUCCCAGAAAAAACAAGGAGAGAAGAUUUUGCCGCGUUUGCGACACGAAGGCGCCGCCACAACUUGUUCUUCAUCUGGAGGGCAGAUCUGGAGUCCGUUUUGGGCUCCGGAGAGGGGAAAUCGUCGCCAUCGUCAUCAUCAACCUUCUUCCCUCUCCAAUUCCAUGAAGCUCUUCGUCGUUCGUGAGUAAUCUAUUCGUAGGCUCGCUGGGCGGUGUUGAGUAGGAUGACAUCUAUCAUUUAAUCGAGUUAGUUUUGACGGGGAUUGAUCCCUAGUAUCCACUAUGUUGUGAGAUUGAUGUUGCUACUACUUUGCCAUGCUUAAUGCUUGUCACUAGGGGUGACAAUAACCGAAACCACUCCCGGUGAUGACCAUAGUUUGAGGAGUUCAUGUGUUCACAAAGUGCUAAUGAAUUGGUCCGGUUCUUUAUUAAAAGGAGAACCUUAAUAUCCCGUAGUUUCCUUUUGGACCCCGCUGCCACGGGAGGGGUGGACAAUAGAUGUCAUGCAAGUUCUUUUCCCUAAGCAUGUAUGACGACACACGGAAUGCAUGCCUACAUGACAUUGACGAACGGGAGCUAGCUACAUAUCUCUCCGUGUUAUACUAUUGCAUGAUGAAUAUCAUCCAAACAAAUCACCGACCCAUUGCUUACGAGUUUGUCAUACUACUUUGAUGUUACUACUUUGCUUGCAGAUACUAAUCUUUCAGGUGUGAUUGAAUCUGAUAAAUUCAGCUGCUAAUACUCGAGAGUAUUCUCUCACCUCCUCUUUGGCGAUCAACAAAUUUGGGCCAAAUACUCUACCCUCGAAAACUGCUGCGAUCCCACGCGCUGGUGGGCCGUCAACAACAUUCUUCUAGUUUCGAUUGCCGGAGAGGGCUAGCAGCAUUCUCCUGGUGCCGUUGCAGGGGAAGGUCUGCUGUCACGGAAUCAGGGGAAUAGCAACGGUGAGUACUCAUCCAAAGUACUCGCAAGACUGACAUCAGAACUAUGCUAAGUAUGCAUCAGUAUCAAAGGAAGGGGUUAUAUGUGGACUGACUACAGCAAUGCGAAAUAGAGAGAGAAGGCCUAAUCCUAUCGGAGACUAGCAUCUUCACGGGUCUUGCAGCAAUAGACGAUAGUACAAAAGGUAACACCAAUAAUCAUAUUGUUCCAGCAAUAUUAAUAUUAGGUCACGCCCCGAGAUUCUCCCUCGAAUCCCUGCGAGGAAGCAAUCCCGGAACAAACAUUCCAGUUAAGUAAGAGUUGUAGUUGUAUAAGAUCAGGGUACAACUCCAAGUCGUCAUGUAACCGUGGACACGGCUAUCCGAAUAGUUAAUUUUCAUCCCUGCACGGGUGCACCACGUUUCCCGUCACGCUCGGUAACACUCUGGUCGAACACACUUUUCAGGAUCAUACCCGGCCUCGAAAUAUCGACAUGUCGCAGCCCCACCUAAGCUCAACAGAGAGGCCAGCCCACCGGUCUAAAUCCUAAGGACAAAGAGGUCGUGGGCCCACUUGCCCUCUGCGCUCCGGCACGAUGCAAGGGAGUCCGAUGUCAGUCCUAGCACCCCUUAAUACCAGCUCUAUGCAUCUCAGGACCACUCGGGCGCACCGCUCCAUUGGUAACGUCUGAAGAGCUUCAGUUGAUACCACGGCGCGGAGUACCCAUAACUUCUCCCGCAUAGCCGGUUAGUGCGAAAAGUUCUCCGACCAAACCAGAUCAAAUACCCAAAUCCAUUAACAUUUUAAUUAACUCAGCGACACAUCAACACGGGAAUCCACCCGCCUAACAUUUAUCCAUCAAAGCUCUGAGUAACAAGGUCAAGUAACUGUGUGGUUGUAACAUCAGGGGGUCCGAGGUAUCACCCUCGUUGGAUCCCGAACGAUGUAUCCGUCAAGUUGGACUUAGAGGAAUCACCCUCGAGGGUCUCACACUUGAGGGGUUGCACGACAAAGUCAUCUCCGAGAGUUGUGAAGGAGGAAUCACCCUCGAUAAUCACGACCGACUAGCUACACUGCAGAGGUAGCAUCAUGAGUACUUCGCGAGGUGUCACCCUUAGUACCCGAUAGUAGCUCUGCAGCGUCGUACACUUAUGGGGUGUGAGUGCUGUGUCGGAUCUUGGCUCGUCGAUCAGGGAUCAAGACUCGACAAUAAAGCGGGGCAACUGGACUAAGGGGGGCAGAGGGUAUGACUGCUCCACCUAUACUAAACAGUUAAAAGUGCGAUACUAAAAGUAGCAGUUCAUAAAAAUUAGGCUAUGCAUCAGAUAUAGGGACUAAUUACAAUAGUAGCAAAAUUCUAAGGCAAGCAUGGAGGAGAAAGAUAUGGGCGAUAUAGGAAUGACCAAGGGGGUUUCGCUUGCCUUGUUGCUCUACGGAAAAGGGUUGGUCAUCGGGAGGGUAGAUGUAACCGGAGCAGCGUCAGUCUCGGGGUUUACCCGUCAAAAGAGGGGGGAAGAAACAAUAAAUAUAUACACGGAUGAAACACUAUGCAUGACAUGGCAAUAUGCAGGUCUAGGCAUGAGCUAACGCAGUGCUAUUCGUCAUACAUGGGUCGGGAAAAAUAUCGGAUGAUAUUUCCCGGGUAUCUGGCUACUACCGUUCAGAUGAAAACGAUGGAAAAGUUCCACAUUUGCUAUGCUAGAAACGCGUGACAAACGAAAGGACCGCAUAUCCAGGUUCGUCUCGUUCUGUUGAUCAACUUUCAUGUUGAAAAUAUUUUCAUCUGAGCUACAGUUUAUUUUAUAUUAAUUUCCAAAGUUUUAUUAAUAUUCUGGAAUUAAAAUAGAUUUAAUUAAUUCAAUUAAAUGCAAUUAUGACAUGAGCAUGAUGCCAUGCUGACAUCAGCACUCAACAGAGUUUGACAGGUCAAACUGACCGGUGGGUCCCAUUCGUCAUAGGCACAAUUUAAAUGUUUAGAUUAACUAUUAAUUUAUCAUAUUAAAUCGUGGGGGACCCACGUGUCAUAAUCUGUUAGGAUAAUCUAAAUAUCUAAUUAACAAAUAACUAACUAGUCUAAUUAAUCCUUAAUUAUCUAUUUAAUAAACUAACUGAUUAUUUAAUUAAUAUAACUAAUUAUUUAUUUAUUUAUUUAUUUAUUUUAACACUUUUAGAGGGGGGUUCGUGUGCCCCCUCUGUCAUUCGCACACAAAAAAGGGUUAGUGGGGGGAGGUUAAUCCCCCCACUAACCAGCUUGGUUGGGGUGACGAGGGCGAGGGCGUGCCGGGCACACGACGCCAGCGACCAGGGUCGGUGGGAGGGGGCGAGAUCCCGGUGGCCAAAUGGGCAGGAGCUCGCGUGGCGGUCGGCGGUGGAAAACACGGCGAGGCAAGGCACGGCCGGUGGCGCGGCGAACGCGGGCAUGCGCGAUCGGGAGCGGUGGUGGUCGCCGGAGCCAGAGGGGGAAAGAGAGGUGGAGGGGCUCACUGCCGAUGUAGGGGAGUGGCAAACUGCUCGGGGACGAGGCGGGGGAAUAACUUCGAUGGGGACGCGGCGCGGUGGUGGCGGGUGGACUGGAGAGGAGGGAGCCGGUGACCGUCGGGGCAGCGCGGGGCGGCGUCGGGGUGGAUCCGGUGGCGGAGGGAGUCGGGGGUAGGGGCGUGUCGGCGUAGUGGGAGAGGCCUCGGGGUGACGAGGGAACGGAGAGCGGGCCUGGCUCGCGCGGGGGGUUGACGAGGGGAGGAACUAGGGGCGGUUCGAGCGAGGGGCGAGAGGUGGAGCAAGGCGUGGGCGGCUCGGUGGGGAUCGAGCUAGGGGAGGAGCCCCUCAUGGCUCCCUCGCGGGGGGUGUGGGAGGAAGUGGGGACUGGGGAGAGGAGAGGCAACGCUAGGGUUAGGACGGGUAGAUAUACCCAGGGUGGCUGGGACGGUUUGGCGUGUUAGGCCAGUUGUGGCCGGCUGGGCCGGUUGGGCCGACCGAGCAUGGUUUUCUUAUUUUCUGUUUUUUUGUUUUUAUUUUACAGGUUUUGUUUUAUUUCUUUCUAACAUUAAUUCCAUUUAGUAUAAAUGUGUGGCUUGGUCAAAUAAACAUAAUGCAUUAUUUUAUAUGGCCACAAAUAAUUUGGGGAUUUCUAGAAGUUCUUGGGAUUUUAAAUUUGAAUUAAAUCCCCUUUUAAAUUGCUAUAAGGCUCUCUUUUUUAAGGUGGGGUCCACACCAUUAACUUGGUGAUGUUGUUUUCCUUAACAAUAUUUGUUUUGGUUUAUUCCACAAUGAUGCAACAUUUUUCUUAUUACGAUUGAGCAAGUAUUUUAUCUCAACAAAAAUCCAAAGCCCUCUUAUAAUCGAAUUCGAAAUGAGAUAUGAAUUUCAACUUGAUCAUUGCUUUCUUAGCAAAAUAAUUAGGCACUGAUCAUGGUCAUUACUAUAGCUUAAUUACAAUGCUUACUAUAGCAAAAGUUGAGGAUGUCACAACUCUCCCCUACUAAUAAGAAUUCUUGUCCCGAGAAUUAAGAGGUAGUAGGAAAGAGCUCAGGGUAUUCAUCACGAAGAUGAUCCUCGCGUUCCCAAGUGGCUUCAUCUUCAGAAUGAUUUGACCACUGCACUUUAAGGUACUUGGUGACUUUGCGACGAGUCUGGCAUUCAAUCUGAUCGAGAAUGCGAACCGGAUGCUCUUUAUACAAGAGGUCUUGUUGCAGCUCAAGCAUAUCAUGAUCCACUGCUCGAAUAGGAUCCUUGAAGCAACGGCGGAGCUAAGACACAUGGAAGACAUCGUGAACCUGAGAAAGGUUCGUCGGUAGUUCCAAUUCUUAAGCUACUUUUCCACGCCUUUCGAGAACAGUGAAAGGACUAAUAUAGCAAGGAGCUAACUUGCCCUUGAUCUCAAAACUGUGUGCGCCUCUCAUUGGUGUGACAUGAAGAUAAGCUUUUUCGCCGGGUUGAUAAACCAUAUCUUGAAGAUGACAGUCAUACUGACUCUUCUAACGAGACUGGGCAUCCUUCAGAUUCUCAAGAAUAAUGCGGAUUUGAUCUUUAGCAUGCUGGGUAACAUAUGGACCUAAGAGUGAUCGGUCCAUUGAACGGUGGCUCUGGAACUCCGUACGAAGCCAGGUGUAAAGGGUACCUUGUAUUCAAACAUGUACAGGAGAGUCAGGUUUCAAUCCUGUGGAACUUUGGGUUAUGGGUCCACCAUGUGGGCUGAGAAUAGGCAGAGGGGUGACAUCUUGUACGGUAUUGGUAGCAAGACCUGUUAGAAGAUAACAUUCAGUUAUGUUAGAAACAACAUCGGUACCAAGGGCAGGGGACGAAUAGAACCAUUUUUCCUGCUCGUUGAAACGAGGCGGACCAAUAGGUAAGGCUCUCAUCCACCGGCGGCUACCGUUAUGUUAUCCACAAUAGUAACAGGGUUUUACUGACAGAGUUGUAUGCCGAGAUUUCCACCUAAGCAUAGAAUUAACACGGCUUAGAUAAGUUAUGCCAUAAGAAAGGUCAAACAGACCAAUGGGAAGGAAAAUGUGUUCACACACACAAGUAUUUAAAAUAUACCAUUCCUGAGGAAAACAUAGAGUAUGGUAUACAUGAUAGGUCAUCAAGUACAUAACCAUUUUGAUAAAGCAGUGAGAAGAAUCGUGAUGUUUACCCAUACCAUGCGGUCUGGAUAAUCGAUCAGGAACAAUUUAGCAUUGCGCUUCCAAUGUUCCUGUUGACAAUUGAAGUACCACAUUCGUGCAUUCGAGGUAGCAUCGACGUGGUCAUCAGAUAAAGGUUGGACUUUGGGUACACAAAGGAUUCAUCAAAAACAACUUAUAAAAUAAGCCAUAUAGUUCCCGCAUGGAAGAUGGUGAAUCUUAUAUAUGGAAAAAUUUAAAAGAAUAGGUCCUUCGGCACGUCGUGCUAGAAAAGACAUCACCGUACCGGGUUACAUAAGACCAAAGUCAUAACUAUUGGAAAAUGUUCCAACCAUCAUAUCUGCCCGAGAUUCAGAUCUGAUUGGUGUCAAGAUACCUUAGACUCGCGAUGGCUGAGAAGAAAAGGGGGCAACAAAAUCGACAAGAUGGUGAUGCAAGAUCCCCGGGAUAUGAACUACACAUGCAAUCCUUGGAUCACGAGUUAUAUUGUAAGACACAUGACCGCCAUGACAACACAUUCGUGCCCACGUGGAAUUCUUUCAACGAAAUGCAAGUGAGAUGUGAUUUGAGAACCAUCAUUGAGGAUAUCAAGGCCCUUGUGUGAGCCUCGAUUAGUUCUUAGGAAGGAACUUAUUUUCCUUGCAAACCAGUCAGUGUCUCGGGGUGCUAAGAGAAGUUAUAUGAAGUGAAGAUAGCAAAUCUUCAAAACAUAUAACACUUCGCACAUGCGUGUAUGAUUUGGUAUUUCCCAAGAGGAAGCGAAACAAAAUUUUCACAUAUUCAUGGCGGCAAGAAUGCACGUGAACCUUGGGAAGACACUUCUUCUUAUCAAUAUAUUCUUCAUGAGCUAGAAACAAAAAUAGUGCUUUCAGAAGCUUCAUCAUGAACCAUGGAGAAGUUGAGGGUGUGGCUGGUGGGCUCAGCAACAAUCCCUCAAAAUUUUGAUGGGAAUGAAUUUCCAGAAUUAUAAGAACAAGGAGAUAGCAUUUGUCGGAUCAAACGAUAUGAUGACGUAUGCUCGAGGGAACAUCAACAAUUAAACAUUGGUCGAAGGGUGCACUCGAAAAUACGGAAUGAGUAGUACGACCAUUGCUAGAAUGGUGAGUCAACAACCAACACACCAAGAAUGAAACAAACAGUUGUUAACCUCAAGGCAAUAGGGUUGCCAGAAGUAUUGGAAUUAGACCUCAAAGUCCACUUGUCGGUAUUCCGGUUAGAAACAACACAGGGACCAAGAAUGAACGGUGAUGGAGAGAAGUAUCACUAUAUCAAGAAUUCUUAAGAGGUGCACUGAUGCUCACAACAUUCUUGACAUAAAUAUGGUAAUACUCCAAGGUAGAAGAUAACAUAAGAUGGAUAGCGAGGAACUCAAGGGACAACACAAUACAUGAACAGAUUUGUGUUGGAGGGAAGGCAAUAAGGUUUGUUAAUGAUAACUAAAAUCAUCGAGGGGAAAUGAUGGUAUUUCUCAUCAUGCAUUCUAUUGAUACCCUGAAGAAGCUGAGAAUGCUGAUUAUGAUCACCACACAUUUGUCAAGAAGUUUCAUGAAGGUAUAAUUGCUUAGCGACGACAUCAAGUAAAGGAAUAAUGGAGAGAAAGGUUGUCGGAACCGCAGAUAAAACUGCUAGCUCUGAAUCGAGAUUACCUUUCAAGACAACCAACAUGAUAUUGAAUGCUCGAUGUAAGCUUAACGCACCAUUGGAAAUAUGUUCCAGGGAUGGAGGACAUAGAUAGCAUGGUCAAGAUCUAGCAUGAUGAUGAUGAUGCAGCCUAAUGUCUUGAAAUGACAAGAUCGAGCACAAACUCAUAAGCAAAGAAGAUUAUUAAGAGUUGUGGAAUCGCAAAGCAUACUCGAUUCAGUUAUCGGUGUCCUUGAGUGUCCAACAACUUAGAACACAAGGAAAACCGGAAUUAAUGAAAAUAUCAUAGUUGAUGAGGAGCUCAGAAUAAGUUAUAUAGCUUUGUGAUAUUUUCGAGAUAACAGGGAUAAUACUCAGAGGUAGAUCAGAGUAGAAGUUAGACUAAUGUAUUGAUCUCUGGAAGACAAGCACUUAAACUUGCCUACAUAUGAUAUCAAAGGAGAACAAUCAUGGUCGGAACCACGGUUCCAAAGUACCACACCACAGAUACCAGAUCAAAACAUAUAAUGGAUGAUUAUUGAUACGAGAAGUUUCUAUGAUAGGAUCAACGUCAUUUCCAUGGGCGUGAACACAAAGUUCAAGAUCAACUCCCACUUCAUCAAUGCAUCACCUGCCAUUUACUCCUCGCCUUUGAUGAGGUUGCAGUUUGGAAAGAUUAUCGGCAAAACACCAGAAGAGUAAGACUCGUGAAAACUAUUCGGGUCAUAUAGAUUUAGGAAGGCAUAGGUUCAACCCAUCGGGAAUCUUAGGAACAUAUACCACAAACUUCAAGAGUAAUCGAAACAUGGUUCACAACAGAGCAUGACCUGACAAAAGCAUAGGAUAUAAUUUAUCAAAGGGAGAAGGCA